UUUUUGUUUUUUGUUUUGUUAUUUGGGGCCUUCUCCUUUUUUAUGCCCUUUUUUCAUUCGGAGUCUCAUCCCGACUUGUGGGGGAAUCAUAGUCUCCAUCAUCCUUUCCUCACUGGGACAAUGCUCUAAUAAUGAAGAGCAUCACACUUUUGUUUACUUACAACUCAAGAAUUACAACUUGAUACUUAGAACAAAAUAUGACUCUAUAUGAAUGCCUCCAGCGGUGUACCGGGAUGUGCAAUGAUUCAAGAUGACAUGUAUGAAAACACUAUGAACAGUGGCUUUGCAACAUAUACGAUGUCAACUACAUGAUCAUGCAAAGCAAUAUGAUAAUGAUGGAGCGUGUCAUAAUAAAUGGAACGAUGGAAAGUUGCAUGGCAAUAUAUCUCGGAAUGGCUAUGGAAGGUAUGUGGUGGGUGUAUGGUACCGGCAAAAGUUGUGUGGUACAAGAGAGGCUAGCAAUGAUGGAAGGGUGAGAGUGCGUAUAAUCCAUGGACUCAACAUUAGUCAUAAAGAACUCACAUACUUAUUGCAAAAAUCUAUAAGUCAUCAAAACCAAGAACUACGCGCAUGCUCCUAGGGGAAGGGUUGGUAGGAGUUAACCAUCGCGCGAUCCUGACCUCCACACAUAAGGAAGACAAACAAAAAAAUAAAUCAUGCUCUGACUUCAUCACAUAACGGUUCAACGUGCAUGCUACGGGAAUCACAAACUUUAACACAAGUAUCUCUCAAAUUGACAAUUACUCCACUAGCAUGACUCUAAUAUCACCAUCUUCGUAUCUCAAAACAAUCAUAAAGAUCAAACUUCUCAUAGUAUUCAAUGCCCUUUAUAUGAAAGUUUUUAUUAUAUCCCUCUUGGAUGCCUAUCAUAUUAGGACUAAAUUCAUAACCAAAGAAAAUUACCAUGCUGUUUAGAGACUCUCGAAAUAAUAUAAGUGAAGCAUGAGAGUUCAUCUAUUUCUUCAAAAUAAAACCACCGUCGUUCUCUAAAAAGAUAUAAGUGAAGCACUGGAGCAAAUGACAAACUACUCCAAAAGAUAUAAGUGAAGAUCAAUGAGUAGUCGAAUAAUUAUGCAACUAUGUGAAGACUCUCUAACAUUUAAUAAUUCCAGAUCGUGGGAUAUUAUUCAAAUAGCAAGAAAAAAAAGUGACGCUCCAAGCAAAACACAUAUCAUGUGGUGAAUAAAAAUAUAGCUCCAAGUAAAGUUACCGAUGAACGAAGACGACAGAGGGGAUGCCAUCCGGGGCAUCCCCAAGCUUAGGCUCUUGGCUGUCCUUGAAUAUUACCUUGGGGUGCCUUGGGAAACCCCAAGCUUGCAUUCUUGCCACUCCUUAUUCCAUAGUCCAUCGAAUCUUUACCAGAAACUUGAAAACUUUACAACAGAAAACUCGAGAGAAAACUCGUAAGCUCCGUUAGUAUAAGAAAAUAAAUCACCACUUAGGUACUGUUGUGAACUCAUUCUAAAUUCAUAUUGGUGUUAUAUAUACUGUAUUUCAACUUAUCCAUGGUUUAUACCCUCCGAUACUACUCAUAGAUUCAUCAAAAUAAGCAAACAACACAUAGAAAACAGAAUUUGUCAAAAACAUAACAGUCUGUAGUAAUCUGUAACUCUCGAAUACUUAUAUAACUCCAAAAAUUCUGAAAAACUUAGUUCCACCUGAUAAGUUUGUGUACCAAUCCAUAGCAAAAAUAAUCAGGUCAAAAUCACGUUUCAAUAAGAUUUUGGAAAUUAUUUACUGAGCGCAAAAGUUUCUGAUUUUCAGCAGGAUCAACACAACUAUCACCACAAGCUAUCCUAAAGGCUUUACUUGGCACUUUAUUGAAACAAAAGCUAUAAAACAUGAUUACUACAGUAGCAUAAUCAUGUGAACACACAAAAACAGUAAGGUUAAAUAUUGGGUUGUCUCCCAACAAGCGCUUUUCUUUAAUGCCUUUUUAGCUAGGCAUGAUGAUUUCAAAGAUGCUCACAUAAAAGAUAAGAAUUGAAACAUAAUGGGAGCAUCGUGAAUCAUAUGACUAACACAUUUAAUUCUAACCCAAUUCCUAUGAAUAGGGAUUUUGUGAGCAAUCAACUUAUGGAAACAAGAAUCAACUAGCAUAGGAAGGCAAAACAAGCAUAACUUCAAGAUUUUCAACACACACAGGAAACUUGAUAUUAUUACAAUUCCUACAAACAUAUAUUCCUCCCUCAUAAUAAUUUUCAGUAUAAUCAUGAAUGGAUUCAACAAUAUAACUAUCACAUAAAGCAUUAUUUUCAUGAUCUACAAGCAUGGAAAAUUUACUACUCUCCACAUAAGAAAAAUUCUUCUCAUUCAGAAUAGUGGGAGUAUCAUAAGAAACUCAAAUACUAUAAAUUGUUUCCACAGUAAAAGAGUAAUGUUCAGAAAAAGGGUAAUCAUAAUCAUGACAAGUUUUAUAAAUAUAAUCAUCACUACUUUUUAUAACAUAAAUAUCAUCACAAUAAUCAUCAUAAGUAGCAACUUUGUUCUCAUCAUAAUCAAUUGAAACCUCUUCCAAGAUAGUGGAAUCAUUACUAAAUAAAGUCAUGACCUCUCCAAAUCCACUUUCAUAAGUGUCACAAUAAGAUUCAACACCCUCCAAAAUAGUGGGAUCAUUACUUCCUAAAUUUAACACUCUUCCAAACCCACUUUCAUUAAUAUAAUCAUCAUAAAUAGGAGGCAUACUAUCAUCAUAAUAAAUUUGCAUAUCAAAACUUGGGAGAAUAAAAAUAUCAUCUUCAUAAACAUAACAUCCCCAAGCUUGGGACAAACAUUAAUUUCAGCAAAUAAAUUCUCAAACAUGUCAUUCUCAUCAAACAUAUCAUCCCCAAGCUUGGGCCUUUGCAUAUCAUAAGCAUAAUCACUCUCAUCAUUAAUAGUAUGGAUAGCACAAAUAGUAUAGCAAUUAUCAUUAUCACAAUGAGUAAUAUGAGCAACAUCAUUUGCGAGGGAUACCUUUUUACCUUUGCUUCUCCGUCUUUUCUUUUUCUUCUCCACAUUAUGUGUGGGUUUAAUCCUCCUUUUGGAGAUCCUUAUUAAUGAGAUUGGUUGAAUAGAAGGCUUCUCCUCUUUACCUGAUUCAUCAUAAGAAAUAAUAGGAGGAUAUUGGGAAACCUCUUCCCUUUCAUUAGUAUUCUCUUCAUCUUCUAUUUGUUUCCUUAUCUUUAUGUAAUUGGCAAUAUAAGGAUUGUCAAUGCAAUUCACCGCACAAUACAUAUAAAUUUCCUCUAGAUCAAAAUCAAGAACUUUAUCAAGGACGAAUUCUGGAAUAUCCUUAGUUAUAUGUUUCAUUUCUUCAUACCCCAAAACCAAACUAAGUUCAUUAUUAUGUGCAAGGGAAAUCAAGUCAUCACAAUUUUUGGACAUGAUUCGAUCAUGAAACAAUUUGUAUUGGAGAUUUAAAUGACCACGUUCAUUGCAAAGUUCACAAGUAUGGCUAAGAAAAUUUAAAUUUUCAGAACAAACAUCUAGCCUCUCUUGCAACCAUUUAGUUUCUAAAUACUUAUGCCUCUUGCAAAAUCUAUCUUCCCUAUUUGGCGUGUACUUGCAAACUCCAUGCACUCCACAGAAGUUGACAUGCUUAUAAGAGACAUUUUUAUCAUAACUGGUGCAAUCAUCAUUAGUACUAUGGAUAUUCAAAGAGUUCAUACUAACAACAUUGCAAUCAUGCUCUUCAUUCAAAGAUUUAGUGCCAAACAUCUUAAUGCAUUCUUCUUCUAACACUUGAGCACAAUUUUCCUUUCCAUCAUUUUCAUGAAAGACACUAAAAAGAUGAAGCAUAUGAGGAAACCUCAAUUCUAGUUUUUAGUAGUUUUCUUUUAUAACCUAAACUAGUGAUACAAGAAACUAAAAGAUUCGAUUGCAAUAUCUAAAGAUAUACCUUCAAGCACUAACCUCCCGGGCAACGGCGCCAGAAAAGAGCUUGAUGUCUACUAUGCAACCUUCUUCUUGUAGACGUUGUUGGGCCUCCAAGUGCAGAGGUUUGUAGGACAGUAGCAAAUUACCCUCAAGUGGAUGACCUAAGGUUUAUCAAUCCAUGGGAAGCGUAGGAUGAAGAUGGUCUCUCUCAAACAACCCUGCAACCAAAUAACAAAGAGUCUCUUGUGUCCCCAACACACCCAAUACAAUGGUAAAUUGUAUAGGUGCACUAGUUCGGUGAAGAGAUGGUGAUACAAGUGCAAUAUGGAUGGUAGAUAUAGGUUUUUGUAAUUUGAAAAUAUAAAAACAGCAAGGUAGCAAGUAACAAAAGUGAGCAAAAAUGGUAUUGCAAUGCUUUGAAACAAGGCCUAGGGUUCAUACUUUCACUAGUGCAAGUUCUCUCAACAAGGAUACCAUAAUUAGAUCAUAUAACAAUCCGUCAACGUGCAACAAAGAGUCACUCCAAAGUCACUAAUAGCGGAGAACAAAACAAGAGAUUAUUGUAGGGUAUGAAACCACCUCAAAGUUAUUCUUUCCAAUCAAUCCAUUGGGCUAUUCCUAUACGUGUCACAAACAGCCCUAGAGUUCGUAGUAAAAUAACAGCUUAAGACACACAUCAACCAAAACCCUAAUGUCACCUAGAUACUCCAAUGUCACCACAAGUAUCUGCGGGUAUGAUUAUACGAUAUGCAUCACACAAUCUCAUAUUCAUCUAUUCAAACCAGCACAAAGAACUUCAAAGAGUGCCCCAAAGUUUCCACCGGUGAGUCAAGACGAAACCGUGUACCAACCCCUAUGCAUAAGUUCACAAGGUCAUUGAACCCGCAAGUUGAUCACCAAAACAUACAUCAAGUGAAUCACGUGAAUAUCCCAUUGUCACCACAGAUAAGCACAUGCAAGACAUACAUCAAGUGUUCUCAAAUCCUUAAAGACUCAAUCCGAUAAGAUAACUUCAAAGGGAAAACUCAAUCCAUUACAAGAAGGUAGAGGGGGAGAAACAUCAUAAGAUCCAACUACAGUAGCAAAGCUCACGGUACAUCAAGAUCGUGCCAUAUCAAGAACACGAGAGAGAGAGAGAGAGAGAGAGAGAGAGAGAGAGAUCACAUAGCUACUGGUACAUACCCUUAGCCCUGAGGGUGAACUACUCCAUCCUCGUCAUGGAGAGCGCCGGGAUGAUGAAGAUGGAUACCGGUGAUGGAUACCCCCUCCGGCAGGGUGCUGGAACAGGGUCCCAAUUGGUUUUUGGUGGCUACAGAGACUUGCGGCGGCGGAACUCCUUAUCUAGGUUAUGUUCUCGAGGUUUGGGGAUUUAUAGGAAAGGUUGGCGUCGUGAACAAGUCAUGGGGCCCCAAGGAGAGUCCACGAGGCAGGGGCGCGCCCUCCACCCUCAUGGGGCCCACAGGACUCCCCUCCGGUAACUCUUCGUUCCAGUAUUUUUUAUAUUUUCCAGAAAAAAUCUUCGUUGAUUUUCAGCGCAUUCCGAGAACUUUUAUUUCUGCACAAAAACAACACCACGGUAGUUCUGCUGAAAACAACGUCAGUCCGGGUUAGUUCUAACCAAAUCAUACCAAAAUCAUGUAAAAAUAUUGUAAACAUGGCAUGAAUACAUCAAUAAUUAUAGAUACGUUGGAGACGUAUCACCGCCCACAACUCUUUGUGUUCUACUCGUGCAUAUCAUCUACGCAUAGACCUGGCUCGGAUGCCACUGUUGGUAAAUGUAGCAUGUAAUUUCAAAAAAAAUCCUACGCUCACGCAAUAUCUAUCUAGGAGAUGCAUAGCAACGAGACGGGGAGAGUUUGUCAACGUACCCUCAUAGACCAAAAGCGGAAGCGUUAGCUUAACGCGAUUGAUGUAGUCAAACAUCUUCUCAAUCCAACCGAUCAAAGCACCGGUACGACACCUCCGAGUUCUGCACACGUUCAGCUCGAUGACGUCCCUCGAAGUCUUGAUCCAGCAAAGUGUCGAGGAGAGUUCUGUCAGCACGACGGUGUGGUGAUGGUGAUGGUGAAGUUAUCCGCACAGGGCUUUGCCUAAGCACUACGUGAAUAUGACCGGAGGUGUAAACCGUGGAGGGGGGGGCGCACACGGCUUGCAACAAUUGUGUCCUAGAGGCGCCCCACCCUCGUGUAUAAAGGAGGGAGAGGGGAGGAGGUCGGCCUAGGCACACCCCAAGUGGGAGGAGUUCCACUUGGGCUCCUAGUAGGAUUCCCCCCCCCCUUCCUUUUAUCAGAGGGGAAAAGGGGGAAGGAGAGGAAGAGGGAGAAGGAAAGGGGGCGUCACCCCCUCCCCUAGUCCAAUUCGGACUCCUCACUUGGGGGGGGGGGCGCCACCCCUACGUGGGCUGGUUUGCCUCCCUCCUAUGGCCCAUAUGGCCCAUAUCUUCCCCGGGGGGUUCCGGUAACACCCCCCCCCCCUCGGUACUCCGAUAUGUACCCAAUACAUUCUGGAGCACUUCCAGUGUUCGAAAUACUACCUUCCAACAUAUCAAUCUUUACCUCUUGACCAUUUCGAGACUCCUCAUCAUGUACGUGAUCUCAUCCGGGACUCCGAACAACCUUCGGUCACCAAAUCACAUAACUCAUAUAAUACAAAUCGUCAUCGAACGUUAAGCGUGCGGACCCUACAGGUUCGAGAACUAUGUAGACAUGACUGAGACACUUUUCCGGCUAAUAACCAAUAGCGGAACCUAGAUGCUCAUAUUGGUUCCUACAUAUUCUAUGAAGAUCUUUAUCGGUCAAACCGUAAUGACAACAUACGUCAUUCCCUUUGUCAUCGGUAUGUUACUUGCCCGAGAUUCGAUCGUCGGUAUCUUCAUACCUAGUUCAAUCUCAUUACCGGCAAGUAUCUUUACUCAUUUUGUAAUACAUCAUCUCGUAACUAACUCAUUAGUCACAUUGCUUGCCAGGCUUCUUAUGAUGUGCAUUACUGAGAGGGCCCAGAGAUGCGAUACUCGGAGUGACAAAUCGUAAUCUCGAUCUAUGCCAAUCCAACAAACACCUUCGAAGAUACCUGUAGAGCAUCUUUAUAAUCACCCAGUUACGUUGUGACGUAUGAUAGCACACAAGGUAUUCCUCCGGUAUCUGGGAGUUGCAUAAUGUCAUAGUCAAAGGAAUAUGUAUUUGACAUGAAGAAAGCAAUAGCAAUAAAACUGAACGAUCAAUAUGCUAAGCUACCGGAUGGGUAUUGUCCAUCACAUCAUUCUCCUAAUGAUGUGAUCCCAUUCAUCAAAUGACAACACAUGUCUAUGGUUAGUAAACUUAACCAUCUUUGAUUAACGAGCUAGUCUAGGAGAGGCUUACUAGGGACACGGUGUAUUGUCUAUGUAUCCACACAUGUAUCAAGUUUCCGGUUAAUACAAUUCUAGCAUGAAUAAUAAACAUUUAUCAUGAUAUAAGGAAAUAUAAAAUAACAACUUUAUUAUCGCCUCUAGGGCAUAUUUCUUUCAUUCGCAUGUAGUAUCCACGUAGGUCUUCUGAUCGUUGAGUUACUUACUGAAUUGAUGCAUGCAUGUUAUACCGAGCCGCCUCGGAUGCUCCUGUCAUCGUCUGGAGUCGAGCUUGCACGAUGAUCGUCAGAUCUGUCCUCGGCGGUCCCAGUUAGAACCAACACGUACCGAUUCGUUUGCACCUGCUGGUUAUUGUGUCUCUGGCCAGUGGGCCAUGACCUUUAUCCACGUCACACCUGCCGCUCUCCCUGACUAGUAGGUCCCAUUAUCAGUUUGGAGACAAACUCAAAAGGGGUCGAAGCCCUUCUCUCUCGAACUCACACGCUUAACCAACUGGCUAGUCUCUUUGGAUCUCAUUGCGUUGAUGCGGGUUCAAAUCCCAGCUUGGGUAGUGGGGAAAGACCAAUUUUUUUCAAUUUCUACACUCGCUAACAAAGUGGCUUAACCCACUGGCUUGUCUCUCUAGAUAUCAUUGCAAAGGUGCGGGUUCAAAUCCCAGCUAGGGCAGUGGGGAACUCCCGAUUUUUGGCAAUUUCUAUCACUUGCCAACAAGUGGGCCUUGGGUCCACGUCUAACAAGCCCAUGUGGCACCCCGGAACCAACAUUUCAUUUUCUAUGGCUAGAUUAGCCAUUGUGCAGAUAUCCCGCAUGCAGUAUUGGCGCCAAAAGCCCGUAGGCAUACCCCUAGGCCCACUUUCAUUGACUAUUGCAGAUUGGAAAUGGGUGAAAAUGUGUUGGCAUUUUUAUUUUUAUUUUAUCUAAAUUCCGGAAAGUUUAAAUAUAUGUUUCAAACUUCAAGUUUGCACAACUUUUGACCCCUGCACAUAUUUGAGCAUAUUUUAUAUGUAUCUUGGGUAGAAAAUUGCCAUCAGUUCAAAUAUGGACUUUGUUUCUAUAUUUGGGCAUUUUUCUUAUUGUGCACAUGUCACAUUUGUAAUACGGCCCCUUACUACUUUUGUAAAAUUCAUAACUAUUUCAUCCCAUGCUCAAUUUUGACAAAUUUGAUAUCCAUUCGAUCCAAAAUCUUUCAGGGAACUCAAAUAUAAACUUGGGUUUUGUAUUUGGGCAAUCUAUAAAUCUGUUAUGUCCUACUUUGCAAAAACACCCUUCCAUGUGGUUUUGGUCAUAUCUUCAGCACCCUAAAUCUAAUUCCUAUGAAUUUUAUAUCCAUUUUGAUAUAAAUCAAUCCAAGCAUUACAGAAAUGUACUGGUUAUCCAAGUUGGUGUCUCCAUUUUAAAUCCAUUCCUGUUUUGCUCAAAAACCAUCCGAAACUUGUUUCGUUCAUAACUUGAGUCCCGUAAAUCAUUUUCAAAUAAACUUUACAUGCAUUACUACUAGAAAAAUGUGUAGAAUAUGAUUAUUCCAUGCUAACGCAUCAUAAAUAACCUGAACAUACUAUUCUUCCGAGAAACCUAUUUCAUUUCAUAAUGCACAUGGAGCACAUCUUGAAUCAUUGCACUAAUGAUUCAAACUCCAUUUAAACUCGCCUAGUUGGUAGCUCCUAUCAUAUCCCCUUAAAACUUGUCACGCAUGCAUAAGAUUGUGCAUCCACCAUGAAGUGUUUGUUUACCAUAUCAUUUGCUUCUUUACAGUUUAGUUCUUAUCGAUAGAGUCUGGUAACAACGAGGAACCAAGCUACAACACUUCCGAGGAAUAGCUUUCUCACCAGGCUGAGUAGAAAUUAGGCAAGGAUGAUCAUUACCUUUAUAUUAUUUCUAGCUUUGCUUACUAGAUUCAUGAUGCUAUCAUAUGUCUCGUUACCUUCCAAAUAUUUAAGGCUUUCAUGUCUCCCACAUAUGUUCUUAACUUCCACAUCCUAGCAAGCCCUGUGAUGGAUAUGUUACCGCUUGCUUAACCUUGCUUAGUAUCAUGCAUAGGGAUUGCAGUGUCUGUCAUAUGCCAUGUGGUUACCUUAUUACUAUUGUCUAGGAUAUCAUGUUAUUAUGUUAAAGUUUUAUGAUAUGAUGAAUGUGGUUGUGCACAAGACGAAGGAUGGAAGGUUGGGUCUUAUGCCUUGGUGUUUUGUUCCAUUCGAGUCACCCUAAGUAUCGAGUUCUGGUUAUUAUGUUCCAUGUUUAGCGCACCAACCGCUUGUGGUAGGUUUUAUGAGGCCCCUUGACUUAACUAACUAGUUUCAAACAUUUUUGGGUGGCCCGAGUUGGUUUUCAAUUUAAAAACUUGUCUUUUAUUUGUCGAGGAUCGCAACCUCGUGGACCUUUUAAAAUAACUUGGGCCAGUGGGGUGGAUUCCCCCGUCGGUUGACACUUGCAUAGUUUUGAGUGGGUGCCUAGGACUCGAUACUAGCCACUUCGACUAGAAGAGUACGAUUUGGAGAUACAUCCAGCUCUCAUUUCGCCUGUCGACUCACCUGAUGGCCGCCUGGGUUUUCGAUGAUUAGUUAGAGGGUCUUGUUAUUACAAAUCUUCUGGUUACCUAGUUGAGCAGAGCAAAUGUGUAUGAAUACCUAUAAUGGAUAAAGUGGGGCAUCCCUGCAAGGUUAAAAAGAUCGAAAAGUCGUGUCCAUGGUUAUGGAUGACUCGAAGCUUAAUGUUAGUUCAUAAACAACCUUAAUUAACUACCAAAAACUUGCCAACAUGUGAGUGCCUUAACUGCCUCUUCUUCCGAGGGGCAAUCCGAAGGGGAGGAAAAGGUAGUGUUGUGAUGAUGUAGGUAUGUGAACAAAAAACUAGCUUACGACCCCUUCACAUAUGUUCCCUCAUCUUGAAUCAAAUAGACGUAAGUGUAGAACAUUGCUUGGCCCCUUGUUGCACCUUCACCACUUAACCCUACAUCACCUAAAUGUAUUGUUAGUUAUAGUACCAAUGGUAAUGAGACUUGCUGAGUACCCAAAGUUCUCACCCUUGCCACAACAAGAACAACAGGUACAUGAUACUACUUCUAGUGCGAUGCAACGACUAGACGUCACUACGUGGAGUUCCCAGACGAUGACAACAAGAUUAGUGGGACCCGAACGACAGCUUGGAAUCAGUGGGAUGGGGUCGUUGCUUUAUGAUCUCCGCCUCUUAAGCAUCAUUUUAUUUUGUGUGUACUCAGACCAUUUGAGUUUUCCGCUUUGAUGAUGAAUGUUCAACCACGUGGUCUCUUCAUGUAAUAAAUAUGGAUCUUGGCACUUGUAUGCCCUAUUCAUACUUAUAUAUCUAUGCUGCCUCUUUGGUAGUGAAAUUGUUGUGAUAUUUGAUUUGUAUGUGGCAUAUGACAGUGCGUGUAUGAUAUGAAGUCAUAUGCUUAUAGCAGCACUAUAUGCACUUCUAUUUUAGAAAUGGACCGUUAGGGUCUAUAUUUACCACAUAUGGAGCCAUACACGUCCCUAGGCAACUAGUAACCUUUUGGGCACACCACUACUAAGCUUUCAUGUACCAGUGUUACUAGUUAAAUAACAAAUCAAACAACCAAAGUGUUAAAAAUCUGACGUCAGAUUUUUUUUACAUUUCCCAGCGAAUAGCCGGAUUUGAUAUGCGAAAAAUAUAUAAAAUUGCCAUGCUUGUGUGUAAGAAUUUAUCAUGUUCUAGUGUGAAAAUUUCUAUGUAGUAUGAAAAAAUGUGAGAAAAAAGAUAUCAUGUUACAACUAGCAAUUGCCAUGCGUUUAAAUCUGACGUCUCACAUGUAAGAGGUCGCUCGUCCCUACGUCUCUCCUCCAAGGAAAGAUGGCUAGGGUUUCUGCCUCCCGUCGACGGUGGUGCCGAUCUACCACGUCCCAUGUGGCCUUAGGGCCAUGGUUGCACGGUGGAUCCCGACCCUUGCACGCGGGAGGGCUCUGUUUUUAGAUGUUUCUUCAAAUUUUAUUAGGGUUUUUGUCGUCCUCGGCAAGAUGAGACGGCGGCAGCUUCUUGAAGAUGAAAUAAGGUUCUCCCCCCUAGCCCCCAUUCCGGUGGUGCGCCUAGCAUCGUCGAAGAGUGUGUGAAGGUGUAUGUCCGGUGGAUCUCGCGAGAUUCGUUCGGUGGUUGCCUUUGGUGGAUUUGCUCGAAUCUGGUCUUUGUUCAUCUUUAUUCAUGUGUCUUCAGGUUGGAUCCUUCCGAUCUAAACUUCUCUUCAUUGGUGGUGGUUGCUUUCUGGUGUGUUGGUCCUAUGGGGUCUUAGCACGGCGACUUUCCGACUGUCUACUACAAUAAGUUGGGCCCGGCUCCAGCGAGGGAGGGGCGCCUUUGGCUGGCUUCGGUGUUUUCAGUCGUCUUUAGGUGGUCUACGAGUCUGAAGGUGAUUUUUUAUUAUUUCUAAUGUUCAUUGUACUACCAUAAUUGAAAAUGAAUAUGUUGGAAAUUCUCGUAAAAUAAAAAAUAAAAAAUCUGACGUCAAAUGUAUAUUUUUUUCUCGAAUAUGCACGAGUGUGCGUACUAUAUGUUAAAGAAAGGGGAUUGGGACAAGAGCCCGUCCACGUUGGCGUUUACAUGUUACAAAGUUGCAUGCGGACCAACUCCACCGGCGUAGCCGUGCACUACCAAGCCUAACUUCUCCCCUCGGCCCACCUAACUAAACCCUCCAUAGUAGUUUCUACGAUGCCUUUGAAGAUGCCGGCGCUCUUCCAUGCGCGCCCUUCAGUGUCGAUUCGGCCCGCUAGCGCGUUCGAAGAGGCGGAGGCGCCAUCGAAGACAAUUGCGUUUGGGUGCUUCCAAAUUUCCCAUAGCACGAGCAGUAGGAAAGCGUGUGUAUCCUUCGCCUCCCGUCCCGUAGUAUCCGUGACGGCGCCCCAGUCCCGCAGCCUCGAGUCCGGGUUCAGCGCCCACUGUGGCCUACCUAGAGCUCCACAAAUGACACGCCAAACUUCUCUCGCGAAGACACAGCCCAAAAGAAGAUGAUCAAGCGUCUCCUCGUGUUGGUCGCGGAAGGGGCAUGCGUCCUGGUGGUCUAAUCCUCGCCGCGCGAGCCUGUCCGAAGUCCAACACCUGUUGCGCAUCGCUAGCCAGAGUAAGAAGCGGCAGCGAAGCGGGGCCUUUGAUCUCCACGUGAAUUCUGCCGUCGGCUCCACCUCUCGCCCCACAAAUCGGGCCUCGUAGGCCGAUUUAGUGGAGUAAUCUCCAUUGGCCUCCAAACUCUAAGUGGUGCGGUCUAGCUCGUCCGGCCUGAGCGCCGUGCUGGUAACCUUAUCCCACAGAUUCAUGUAUUCACUUAGCUGCUCGCUGGAGAGGUCGGGACCAAUGUCCAAGGCCCAGUCCUCCGUUGAAAUAGCCUGGUGAAUCGUCCGAGAGGCCCGCACAUUGGCAUCAACGACAGCAUAUAUGGAUGGGGCAACAUCCUGGACUGUGAAGCCUUCCAGCCACCUAUCUUCCCAGAAGCGGGCACUCAUGCCAUCGCCCAGCGUAGUUUUUGCCUAACAAUCAGUACGAGGUCCAAAGAGAUAUCGUCUCUCUGACUCUUUCUCUCUCCGCCUAACGGCCCAUGUGUAUCAAAUAAUUAAGCUUACAUCUCGGGCAUAGACUUGAGCAAAUUAGUAGUAUCACGUUAUGCACAGCUCAAAUCCAACUAAAAGAACAAAUGCAUGCACGUACACAAUGCACCGACGCCUGUACACAUAUAAAAUUCCAGGUGUGUUCAUCAGAAACGCAACGCUGUGCUUGUUUGUUUGGGGAAAAACGGCUACCAGUUUACUCUCUGCAGACACGCAGCCGAAAGGUAGGCUGGAGACAAACAUGGCGACUACUACGGAUAUAUUAAUCUGCAAAUUUAUAGUUUUUCUAUGAUCUAAGAGCUAACUAUACCUUAGCUAGCGCGUGAUGAUAGCAUUUGAUGACUAAAUUGACCGCACAUUGCAUAUUCAUUUUGAGGUCGUGUACUAGUACCUGCUAUGUAGUGCAUUAGCAUGUGGGGUUUGUUGGGGACCAUGUGAUCCGAGCAAGCAAAAGGCACUAAUCAAUCUAGCCAAGCCAGACACUGCAAAGUUUGCAUAUCUUAAUCAAGCUUUUGAUCACUAUGAUACUCCCUCCGUUUUGUAAUGUAGUGUGUUUGUGCUUUUCGAGAUUCAAGUUUGACCGUAAAUUUAACCAAUGAGACCGACUGUGGUGGGAGCAAAAAUUAUACCACUGAAUUCUUAUUUUCAAUAUCAUUUCAAUGAUAUAAUUUUUCCUCCCGCCGCAGACGGUCUUGUUGAUUAAAUUUACAGUCAAACUUGAAUCUGAAGAAGCGUAGGCGCACUACAUUGUGAAAUGGGGUACUAGAUAGUUAUAUCAGAUAGAUGCACCUUGAUUGUUCUAUAGAUAAAAGAUGCAGCUUGAUUGAUUGAUUGAUUGAUUGUUAGCUUUAAGUUAAUUAAUGUUGAGUGAUAGCUCUUAACUGGCAGAUAAAUGAUGAGUUCCUUUUGGUCAUGAAUGCGAGGUGACACCAAAAAUGACCAACCGUCCUGUCCAUCUCCCAACCCUUAAGUCCCAGUCACAUGCUGCAUAACCACCACUAUAGAUACUCUAAAAUAUACAUAUUUUUUCUUGGAUUGAUUAUUUUUCUUUCUCCGUUUUUUCUCUGAAAAUCUAAUACACAAGUAGAUUUCAAUACAUGAUGGAAUAUGAUUUAUAAUUAUUUCUUUACUUUUAAUGGGAUAUACUCCCUCCAUUCCAGAAUAUAAGGUGUAUGAAUUUUCGUGUAAGUCAACCAUUUAAAUGUUUGAUCAAGAUUAUAGAAUAAAAUAACGACAUCUUCAAUGCCUAAUAGAUAAAAUAUGAAACUACUCUUCAUGAUGAAUCAAAUGAUAAAAGUUUCGUAUUCUGGAUGUUUAUAUAUUUUUCUAAAAGCUCGGUCAAACCUGCACUCUUUUGACUUUUGAAAAAACAAAUAUACCUUAUAUAAAGAAACGGAGAGGACACAAUACUAUGAUCCUCCAUAUUAGUCUCCCGGCCUUCAUGCACAAAAUUCAUUGCUUGGAAUUGUUUCACACCUCCCGUACCUCCUCAGUGAUCAUCAUGUAGGAGUAGUAGUUUACUUAGAGCAUCUUCAAUAGAUAAUGUGGAUGUAUAGAAACUUGCUUUUUACAUCACGAAGGCACAAAAACGAUGCUCCAACAUAUGAUGUAGACGCAAAUGUUUUUACUUGGAUUUUGUCCGUGAUGUAAAAUAGAGCACCAAGUAAUGCAAAUUUCCAUCACCUGUGCGGCUCGAGUAAAACGCAGCUGGUCGCGUGCUUAGCCCCCACUGCCACGCAGAACAUUCCCGCGCCGUGCCAGCUCCUCCACUUGCCUACUGCCACCGAUGAUUUCGCCCGGAAAGUGUGCCGCCGCCGCUCAUUCGUCCAUCCCUGACCCGGUCGUGAUCCCCCCGCCGGACGGCUACGGAGGUCCCGCUGCCAUGCCGAUUUGGAUCCGUCAUGGCGUCGUGUUUUGGUAUAUUCGGCUGUUUGCUGGAGCGUCGGCGCCCAUGAUAGCUUCUGCAGCUCGUGGCCGUCGUACGGAGUAGGACUACUGGCCACCGGAGCUACCGCAGAUAGUCACGCGACCACCGUGACCGAGCCAAUCGGCCACUGUUUCAAUCGGCGUCGCUGGUGUUUCAUCGCCGAAAUUAGGGUCAGCGACUAGCUGGCAGACGUCAAUGAGGCGUAGGAGAUGCCUUCGUGAGCCGCUUGUCACCGACGCAACUACUAUGUACGCUUUGUGUGCAAGCAAGGCCAAAUUGAAAGAAUAGAGAUCUCAGAAUCCCAUACCUCCUUCACUUUUCGAAAAACAAAAUUUCCACCAUGCGACCCAAUGCUUUCUUCUAUGCUCCUCAUUAUCUCCCCACCAGAACUAGGAUAUAAUAUUUGUAAUCUCUUUGCAUAUCCUCUUAUGAAUGCUAAACACAGUCAUAGCAAAAAUAGGUACAGCAUGGGCAACAACUUUCAAUAAUAUUGCCUUACCACUUGUAGAAAUAAUUUUUCCACCCAUUCCAUCAACCUUUCCUUUAUUCUUUCGAUGAAGUGCCUGAAGCAAUCACUUCUAUCACCUCCCACUAAGGUAAGAAGUCCUUGGUACUUAUCUGUCAAGGCUUUUGUACUAAUGUGUAAGAUUUCACAUACCUCUGCCCUAGAAACCACACUAGUAUUAGGGCUAAAUAUAUAUAUUGAUUUGUCCAAACUCACCAGUUGUCCUGAGCUCUGACAAUAGGUAUCCAGGAUCUGCUAUAAGAAAGUUGCAUUUAAAACAUCUGUAUUCAUAAGAAUCAAAGAAUCAUCAGCAAAUAAAAUGUGUGAUAUUGAUGGUGCAUUUCUACACACUCUAAUUCCCUCCAUGCCACCAACUUAUUCUUCACACGACAACAUAUUGGAAAACCCUUCUGUACGAAGAAGGAACGAAUAUGGGGAGAGAGGGUCUCCCUGCCGAAUGCUCCUAGAUGGGGUAAACACUUCUGUCUUCUGAGAGUUGACUCUGACUUUAUAUCUGAUAAAUAGAUACAAGCCAUAAUCAUAUGAAUCUGUUGCUCAUGCCAAAUUUUCCAUCAUACUCUUCAAGAAAAUCCAUUCAACAUGGUCAUAGGCCUUAUGCAUUUCUAACAUAACCGCACGUAGUCCUGUUUGGCCCACUCUCUUAUUUAUUUUUAUGAAUACACUCAUACGCAAUCCAGAUAUCAUCAGUUAUGAGUCUACUUGGCACAAAGGCACUCUGAGUGGGCGAAAUGAUCUCUGGCAGGAUACCCUUCAAUCUUGAUGCUAACAUUUUUAGAUAAUAUUAUAUAAUACAUUGCACAUACUAAUGGGCCUAUAAUGAAUAUUAAUUCUGGAGAAUCAACCUUUGAAAUAAGAACCAUGGAUGUGUCAUUCCACUGAGCCAGGAUCUGUUGAUUAUUGACUGCAAACAACACCUCCUUAGUGAUAUGUUCACCUAACACAUGAAAAAACUUUUAAAAGAAAAUUGCAUGGAGCCCAUCUGCCUCGGUGCCUUAAGAUCACCUAUACUGAAAACUACCCUAUCAUUGUCAUCAUCUGUGUAUGGCGCCAUCAGGAGUGCAUUCAUUUGAUCUAUAACCUUCUUCUGAACUUUCUCAAAAAUAGUCGGGUUCACAUGCCGCACCUCCGAUAAACAGAUUAUGAAAGUAGUUUUGAAUAUGGGGACUUAAAUUUUUCAUACCUGCCAAAAAAUUACCAUCCUCAUCUUUUUACCUUUUUGUAAGAUUUUGCUUUCUCCGUGCUGAUGCAUACGCCUAGAAAAACAUUGUAUUGUGAUCACCAAAUUUCAGCCUUUCCUCCUUCCCCUUUUCUACUCCAAUUUGGCCAGCCCAUAUGGGGGGCGCACCAGCCACUUUGUGGCUGGUGCGUUUCCCCUCUUGUUCCAUAAGGCCCUUAUCUUUUGUCGGGGGUGCCCAGAACCCCUUCCGGUGACCCGCUAUGUACCCGGUACCCUCCGGAACACUUCCGGUGUCCGAAUACCAUCGUCCUAUAUAUCAACCUUUACCUCUCGACCAUUUCGAGACUCCUCGCCAUGUAUGUGAUCUCAUCUGGGACUCCGAACAACAUUCGGUCACCAAAUCACAUAACUCAUAUAUUACAAAGUCGUCAUCAAACGUUAAGCGUGCAGACCCUACGGGUUCGAGAACUAUGUAGACAUGACUGAGACACUUCUCCGGUCAAUAACCAAUAGCAGAAAUUGGAUGCUCAUGUUGGCCCCUACAUAUUCUACGAAGAUCUUUAUCGGUCGAACCGUUUAUACAACAUAUGUUAUUCCCUUUGUCAUUGGUAUGUUACUUGCCUGAGAUUCGAUCAUCGGUAUCUUCAUACCUAGUUCAAUCUCUUUACUGACAAGUCUCUUUACUCGUUCCAUAAUACAUCAUCCCACAACUAACUCAUUAACCACUUUGCUUGCAAGGCUUCUUAUGAUGUGCAUUAUCGAGAGGGCCCAGAGAUACCUCUCUGAUACUCGGAGUGACAAAUCCUAAUCUCGAUUCAAGCCAACCCAACAAGACACCUUCAGAGAUACAUCUAGAGCAUCUUUAUAAUCACCCGGUUACUUGUGACGUUUGAUAGCACACAAGGCAUUACUCCAGUAUCCGGGAGUUGCAUAAUCUCAUAGUCAAAGGAAUAUGUAUAUGACAUGAAGAAAGCUAUAGCAAUAGAACUGAAUGAUCAUUAGGCUAAGCUAACAGAUGGGUCUUGUCCAUCACAUCAUUCUCCUAAUGAUGUGAUCCCGUUCAUCAAAUGACAACACAUGUCUAUAGUUAGGAAACUUAACCAUCUUUGAUUAACGAACUAGUCUAGUAGAGGCUUACUAUGGACACGGUGUUUUGUCUAUGUAUCCACACAUGUAUCAAGUUUCUAGUUAAUACAAUUUUAGCAUGAAUAAUAAAAAUUUAUCAUGAUAUAAGGAAAUAUAAAACAACAACUUUAUUAUUGCCUCUAGGGCAUAUUACCUUCAGUCUCCCACUUGCACUAGAGUCAAUAAUCUAGUUCACAUCGCCAUGUGAUUUAACAACAAUAGUUCACAUCACCAUGUGAUUAACACCCAUAGUUCACAUCGCCAUGUGACCAACACCCAAAGGGUUUACUAGAGUCAAUAAUCUAGUUCACAUUGCUAUGUGAUUAACACCCAAAGAGUACUAAGGUGUGAUCAUGUUUUGCUUGUGAAAGAAGUCUAGUCAACGGGUCUGCCACAUUCAGAUCUGUAUGUAUUUUGCAAAUUUCCAUGUCUACAAUGCUCUGCAGGGAGCUACUCUAGCUAAUUGCUCCCACUUUCAAUAUGUAUCCAGAUUGAGACUCAGAGUCAUCCAGAUCAGUGUCAAAGCUUGCAUCGACGUAGCCCUUUACGAUGAACUCUUUGUCACCUCCAUAACCGAGAAACAUUUCCUUAGUUCUUUUAGGUAACUAAGGAUAAUUUUGACCGUUGUCUAGUGAUCUACUCCUAGAUCACUAUUGUACCCCGUUGCCAAACUCAUGGCAAGGUACACAAUAUGUCUAGUGCACAACAUGGCAUACUUUAUAGAACCUAUGGUUGAGGCAUAGGGAAUAACUUUCAUUCUCUCUCUAUCUUCUGCCGUGGUCGGGCUUUGAGUCUUACUCAACUUCACACCUUGCAACACAGGCAAGAACCCUUUCUUUGGCUAAUCCAUUUUGAACUUCUUCAAAGUCUUGUCAAGGUAUGUGCUUUUUGAAAUCCUAUUAAGGGUCUCGAUCUAUCCCUAUAGAUCUUGAUUCCCAAUAUAUAAGUAGCUUCACCAAGGUAUUUCAUUGAAAAAUUUUAUUCAAGUAUCAUUUUAUGCUAUCCAGAAUUUAUAUAUCAUUUCCAAUUAACAAUAUGUCAUCCACAUGUACUAUCAAAAAUGCUACAGAGCUCCCACUCACUUUCUUGUAAAUACAUGCUUCACCAUAAGUUUGUAUAAAACCAUAUGCUUUGAUCACCUUUUCAAAGCAUGUAUUCCAAUUCCAAGAUGCUUGCACCAGUCCAUAAAUGGAUAGCUAGAGCUCGCAUACUUUGUUACCACCUUUAGGAUUGACAAAAAACUUCUGGUUGUAUCAUAUACAACUCUUCUUUAAUAUCCAUUAAGGAAUGCAGUUUUUGACAUCCAUUUGCCAGAUUUCAUAAUCAUAAAAUGUGGCAAUUGCUAACAUGAUUCAGACAGACUUAAGCAUCGCUACGGGUGAGAAAGUCUCAUCGUAGUCAACUCCUUGAACUUCUCGAAAACCUUUUGCGACAAGUCGAGCUUUGUAGACAGUAACAUUACCAUUAGCGACAGUCUUCUUCUUGAAGAUCCAUUUAUUCUCUAUGGCUCGCCGAUCAUCGGGUAAGUCCACCAAAGUCCACACUUUGUUCUCAUACAUGGAUCCUAUCUAAGAUUUCAUGGCCUCAAGCCAUUUAUCGGAAUCUCAGCUCAUCAUAGCUUCUUCAAAGUUUGUAGGUUCGUCAUGGUCUAGUAACAUGACUUCCAGAACAAGAUUACGGUACCACUCUGGUGCGGAACAUGCUCUGUUCGACCUACAAGGUCCAGUAGUAACUUGAUCUGAAAAUUCAUGAUCAUCAUCAUUAGCUUCCUCUCUAGUUGGUGUAGGCAUCACGGGAACGGAUUUCUAUGAUGAGCUACUUUCCAAAUUGAGAGAAGGUACAAUUACCUCAUCAAGUUCUACUUUCCUCCCACUCACUUCUUUCGAGAGAAACUCCUUCUCUAGAAAGGUUCCAUUCUUGGCAACAAAGAUCUUGCCGUCGGAUCUGUGGUAGAAGGUGUACCCAAUUGUUUCCUUAGGGUAUCCUAUGAAGAUGCAAUUAUCCGAUUUGGGUUCGAGCUUAUUAGGCUGAAGCCUUUUGAAAUAAGUGUCGCAACCCCAAAAUUUAAGAAACAACAACUUAGGUUUCUUGCCAAACCACAGUUCGUACGGUGUCAUCUCAACGGAUUUAGACGGUGCCCUAUUUAACGUGAAUGCAGUUGUCUCUAAUGCAUAACCCCAAACGAUAGUGGUAAAUUGGUAAGAUCAUCAUAGAUCGCACCAUAUCUAAUAAAGUACAGUUACGACGUUCGGACACACCAUUAUGUUGUGGUGUUCCAGGUGGUGUGAGUUGUGAAACUAUUCCACAUUGUUUUAAAUGAAGGCCAAAGUCGUAACUCAAAUAUUCGCCUCCCCGAUCAGAUCGUAGAAACUUUAUUUUCUUGUUAAGAUGAUUCUCCACUUCACUCUGAAAUUCUUUGAACUUUUCAAAUGUUUCAGACUUGUGUUUCGUCAAGUAGAUAUACCCAUAACUGCUCAAAUCAUCUGUGAAGGUCAGAAAAUAACGAUGCCCGCCGCGAGCCUCAACACUCAUCGGACCGCAUACAUCGGUAUGUAUUAUUUCCAAUAAGUCAGUGGCUCGCUCCAUUGUUCCGGAGAACGAAGUUUUAGUCAUCUUGCCCAUGAGGCAUGGUUCAUAAGUAUCAAAUGAUUCAUAAUCAAGUGAUUCCAAAAAUCCAUCCGUAAUGGAGUUUUCUACAUGCGCUUUACACCAAUAUGACCUAAACGGCAGUGCCACAAAUAUGUUGCACUAUCAUUAUCAACUUUGCAUCUUUUGGUAUCAAUAUUAUAAAUAUGUGUAUCACUGCGAUCGAGAUUCAAUAAACCAUUUACAUUGGGUGUAUAACCAUAGAAGGUUUUAUCAAUGUAAACAGAACAACAAUUAUUCUCAUGAAUAACCGUAUUGCAAUAAACAUGAUCCAAUCAUAUUCAUGCUCAACGCAAACACCAAAUAACAUUUAUUUUGGUCCAACACUAAUCUUGAAGGUAAAGGGAGUGUGUGAUGGUGAUCUUAUCAACCUUGGAAUCACUCCCAACACACAUCGUCACCUUGCCCUUAACUAGUCUCUGUUCAUUUUGCAAUUCCUAUUUCGUGUUACUAAUCUUAGCAACUGAACCGGUAUCAAAUACCCUGGGGUUACUAUGAACACUAGUAAAGUACACAUUAAUAACAUGUAUAUCAUAUAUACCUUUGUUCACUUUUCCAUCCUUCUUAUCCGCCAAGUAUUUGGGGUAGUUCCUCUUCCAGUGACCAUUCCCUUUGCAGUAGAAGCACUCAGUUUCAGGCUUAGGUCUAGCUUUGGGUUUCUUCAUGGGAGUGGCAACUUGCUUGCCAUUCUUUCUUGAAGUUCCCUUUCUUUUCCUUUUCCCCUAUUCUUGAAACUAGUGGUCUUGUUAACCAUCAACACUUGAUGCUCUUUCUUGGUUUCUGCCUUAGCCGAUUUUAGCAUCGCGAAGAACUUGGGAAUCAUUUUCGAAAUCCCUUGCAUAUAGUUCAUCACAAAGUUCCAGUAACUUGGUUAUAGUGACUAGAGAACUCUGUCAAUCACUAUCUUAUCUGGAAGAUUAACUCCCACUUGAUUCAAACUGAUUGUAGUACAUGCUCACUGGUUGAGCUAUUCUCCUCCAUCUUGUAGGCAAAGUACUUGUCAGAGGUCUCAUACCUCUCGACUUGGGCAUGAGUCUGAAAUACCAAUUUCAACUCUUGGAACAUCUUAUAUGCGUUGUGGCGUUCAAAAAGUUUUUGAAGUCCCAGUCUAAGCCAUAAAGCAUGCGCACUAAACUAUCAAGUAGUCAUCAUACCAAGCUUGUCAAAUGUUCAUAACGUCUGCAUCUGCUCCUGCAAUAGGUUCGUCACCUAGCGGUGCAUCAAGGACAUAAUUCUUCUGUGCAGCAAGGAGGAUAAUCCUCAGAUCAUGUACCCAGUCCGCAUCAUUGCUACUAUAAUCUUUCAACUUAUUUGUCUCUAGGAACAUAUCAAAAAUAAUCGGGGAGCUACAUCGCAAGCUAUCAACAUAGAUAUGCCAAUACUAUCAGGACUAAGUUCAUGAUAAAUUAAGUUCAAUUAAUCAUAUUACUUAAGAACUCCCAUUUAGAUAGACAUCCCUCAAGUCAUCUAAAUGAUACGUGAUCCAAAUCAACUAAACCAUGUCCGAUCAUCACGUGAGAUGGAGUAGUCAUCAAUGGUGAACAUCUCUAUGUUGAUCAUAUCUACUAUAUGAUUCACGUUCGACCUUUCGGUCUCUACUAUAUGAUUCACGUUCGACCUUUCGGUCUCCAGUGUUCCAAGGCCAUGUGUGUACAUGCUAGGCACGUCAAGUUUAACCCAAGUAUUCUGCAUGUGCAAACUGUCUUGCACCCGUUGUAUGUGAACGUAGAGCCUAUCACGCCCGAUCAUCAUGUGGUGUCUCAGCAUGAAGAACUUUCGCAAUGGUGCAUACUCAGGGAGAACACUUAUACCUUGAAAUUUAGUAAAGGGAUCAUCUUAUAAUGCUACCGCCGUACUAAGAAAAAUAAGAUGCAUAAAAGAUAAACAUCACAUGCAAUCAAAAUAUGUGACAUGAUAUGGCCAUCAUCACCUUGUGCCUUUGAUCUCAUCUCCAAAGCACCAUCAUGAUUUCCAUCAUCACUGGCUUGGCACCUUGAUCUCCAUCGUAGCGUCGUUGUCAUUUCGCCAACUAUUGCUUCUACAACUAUCGCUAACGCAUAGUCAUAAAGUAAAGCAAUUAUAUGGCGUUUUCAUUUCAUACAAUAAAUCGACAACCAUAAGGCUCCUACCAGUUGCCGAUAACUUUUACAAAACAUGAUCAUCUCAUACAAUAAUGUAUAUCACAUCAUGUCUUGACCAUAUCACAUCACAACAUGCCCUACAAAAACAAGUUAGACGUCCUCUACUUUGUUGUUGCAAGUUUUUACGUGGCUGCUACAGGCUUCUAGUAAGAACCGUUCUUACCUACGCAUCAAAACCACAACGGUGAUUUAUCAAGUUUGUUGUUUUAACCUUCAACAAGGAUCGGCCGCAGUCAAAUUCGAUUCAACUAAAGUUGGAGAAACAAACACCCGCCAGCCACCUUUAUGCAAAACUAGUUGCAUAUCUGUCGGUGGAACCGGUAUCAUGAACGUGGUCAUGUAAGGUUGGUACGGGCCGCUUCAUCCAACAAUACUGCCGAAUCGAAAUAAGACAUUAGUGGUAAGCAGUAUGACGAUCACCGCUCAUAACUCUUUGUGUUCUACUCAUGCAUAUCAUCUAUGCAUAGACCUGGCUCUGAUGCCACUAAUGGGAAAUGUAGCAUGCAAUUUCAAAAAAAUUACUAUGCUCACGCAAGAUCUAUCUAGGAGAUGCAUAGAAACGAGAGGGGAGAGUGUGUCCACGUACCCUCGUAGACCGAAAGCGGAAGCGUUUGACAACACGGUUGAUAUAGUCAAACUUCUUCUUGUUCCGACCGAUCAAGCACUGAAUGUACGUCACCUCUGAGUUCUGCACACGUUUAGCUCGAUGAUGUCCCUCGAACUCUUGAUCCAGCAAAGUGUAGAGGGAGAGUUCCGUCAGCACGACGACAUGGUGACGGUGACGGUGAUGGUGAAGUAAUCCAUGCAAGGCUUUGCCUAAGCACUACGUGAAUAUGAGCGGAGGCAUAAACUGUGGAGGGGGGUGCCGCACACGGCUAACAAUUAUUGAUGCGUGUUCUAGCAGUGCCUCCCCCACAUUUAUAUAGGUUGGAGGGGAGGGAGGCAGCCAAGGGGGUGUCCCAAUUAGGAGGAAUCCUACUUGGGGUCCUCCCAAUUCGCCCCCCCCCCCCCUUUCCUAUUCCUAUUCAGAGUAGGAAGGGAAGAGGGGGAAUCCUAUUACCUUUUUCCUUUCCUCCUUCCCCUUUUCUACUCCAAUUUGGCCAGCCCAUAUGAGGGGGGCGCACCAGCCCCUUUGUGGCUGGUGCGUUUCCCUCUUGGCCCAUAAGGCCCAUAUCUUUUGCCGGGGGUGCCCGGAACCCCUUUCGGUGACCCGAUAUGUACCCGGUACCCUCCGAAACACUUCCGGUGUCCGGAUACCAUCGUCCUAUAUAUCAAUAUUUACCUCUCGACCAUUUUGAGACUUCUCGUCAUGUCUGCGAUCUCAUAUGGGACUCCGAACAACAUUCGGUCACCAAAUCACAUAACUCAUAUAAUACAAAAUCGUCAUCGAACGUUAAGCGUGCGGACCCUACGGGUUCGAGAACUAUGUAGACAUGACCGAGACACUUCUCUGGUCCAUAACCAAUAGAGGAACCUGGAUGCUCAUAUUGGCUCCUACAUAUUCUACGAAGAUCUUUAUCGGUUGAACCGUUAUGACAACAUACAUUAUUCCCUUUGUCUUCGAUAUGUUACUUGCCCGAGAUUCGAUCGUCGGUAUCUUCAUACCUAGUUCAAUCUCGUUACCACCAAGUCUCUUUACUCGUUCCAUAAUACAUCAUCCCGCAACUAACUCAUUGGUCACUUUGCUUGCAAGGCUUCUUAUGAUGUGCAUUACUGAGAGGGCCCAGAGACACCUCUCCGAUAAUCAGAGUGACAAAUUCUAAUCUCGAUUCAAGCCAACCCAACAAGACACCUUAGGAGAUACCUGUAGAGCAUCUUUAUAAUCACCCAGUUACGUUGUGACAUUUGAUAGAACACAAGGCAUUCCUCCGAUAUCCGGGAGUUGCAUAAUCUUAUAGUCAAAGGAAUAUGUAUAUGACAUGAAGAAAGCUAUAGCAAUAAAAACCGAACGAUCAUUAUGCUAAGCUAACAGAUGGGUCUUGUCCAUCACAUCAUUCUCCUAAUGAUGUGAUCUCGUUCAUCAAAUGACAACACAUGUCUAUGGUUAGGAAACUUAACCAUCUUUGAUUAACAAGCUAGUCUAGUAGAGGCUUAGUAGGGACACGGUGUUUUGUCUAUGUAUCCACACAUGUAUCAAGUUUCCGGUUAAUACAAUUCUAGCAUGAAUAAUAAACAUUUAUCAUGAUAUAAGGAAAUAUAAAAUAACAACUUUAUUAUUGCCUCUAGGCCAUAUUUCCUUCAAAUUUAUCACAUGGACUAGUCCCAAGUUUGGGUUUGACCCUAUCUUUUCCACGCCUCCUGCACAUUUAUACCCACUAUUUUGGUGUGUUCACGUGAUUAAGCUACUGUAGUAAUCAUGUUUUAUAGCUUUUGUUUCAAUAAAGUACCAGUAAGACCUUUGGGAUGGUUUACGGUAAUAGUUGAUUUGAUCUUGCUGAAAAACAGAAACUUUUGCGCUCAUGAAAACAAUUUUCAUAAUUCACUGAAGAGUGCUUUUAAGUUGAUUCUUUUUGCAUAGGAUUAAUAAACAAAUUUCUUAGGACUUCUAAUUUCUUAGGAUUUUGGGAGUUAUAUAAGUAUUCGAGAGUUACAUAUUACUACAGACUGUUCUGUUUUUGACAUAUUCUUUUUUUCUAUGUGUUGUUUGCUUAUUUUGAUGAAUCUAUGAAUGGUAUCGGAGGGUAUGAACCAUAGAGAAGUUGGAAUGCAGUAUAUAUUACACCAAUAUGAAUUCGGAAUGAGUUCACAACAGUACCUAAGUGGUAAUUUUAUUUUCUUAUACUAACAGAGCUUACGAGUUCUCUGUUGAGUUUUGUGUUAUGAAGUUUUCAGGUUUUGGGUAAAGAUUCGAUGGACUAUGGAAUAAGGAGUGGCAAGAGCCUAAGAUUGGGGAUGCGCAAGGCACCCCAAGGUAAUAUUCAAGGACAACCAAGAGCCUAAGCUUGGGGAUGCCCAAGGCACCCAAGGUAAUAUUCAAGGACAACCAAGAGCCUAAGCUUGGGGAUGCCCCGGAUGGCAUCCCCUCUUUCGUCUUUGUUCGUCGGUAACUUUACUUGGAGCUAUAUUUUUAUUCACCAUAUGAUAUGUGUUUUGCUUGGAGAGUCAUUUUGUUUUAUUUUGUUUUGCUUGCUGUUUGAAUAAUAUCCCAAGAUCGGAAAUUCUUAAAUGUUAGAGAGUCUUCACAUAAUUACAUAAUUAUUCGACUACUCAUUGAUCUUCACUUAUAUCUUUUGGAGUAGUUUGCCAUUUGCUCUAGUGCUUCACUUAUAUCCUUUAGAGCACGACGGUGGUUUUAUUUUGAAGAAAUUGAUGAACUCUCAUGCUUCACUUGUAUUAUUUUGAGAGUCUUAAACAACAUGGUAAUUUGGUUAGGUUAUGAAUUUAGUCCUAAUAUGAUGGGCAUCCAAGAGGGAUAUAAUAAAACUUUCAUAAAAAGUGCAUUGAAUACUAAGAGAAGUUUGAUUCCUUAUGAUUGUUUUGAGAUAUGAGGAUGGUGAUAUUAGGGUCAUGCUAGUGGAGUAUUUUUGAAUUUGAGAAAUACUUGUGUUGAGGUUUGUGAUUCCCGUAGCAUGCACGUAUGGUGAACCGUUAUGUGAUGAAGUCAGAGCAUGAUUUACUUUUUGAUUGUCUUCCUUAUGAGUGGCGGUCGAGACGAGCGAUGGUCUUUUCGUACCAAUCUAUCCCCCUAGGAGCAUGUGUGUAGUACUUCGUUUUGAUAACUAAUAGAUUUUUGCAGUAAGUAUGUGCGUUCUUUUUUACUAAUGUUGAGUCCAUGGAUUAUACGCACUCUCACCCUUCCACCAUUGCUAGCCUCUCUUGUGCCGCGCAACUCUUGCCGGUACCAUACACCCACCAUAUACCUUCCUCAAAACAGCCACCAUACCUACCUAUUAUGGAAUUUCCAUAGCCAUUCCGACAUAUAUGGCCAUGCAACUUUCCAUCAUUCCGUUUAUUAUGACACGCUUUAUCAUUGUCAUAUUGCUUUGCAUGAUCAUGUAGUUGACAUUGUGUUUGUGGCAAAGCCACCUUUCAUAAUGCUUUCAUACAUGUCACUCUUGAUUCAUUGCACAUCCCAGUACACCGCCGGAGGCAUUCACAUAGAGUCAUAUUUUGUUCUAAGCAUUGAGUUGUAAGUAAAUAAAAGUGUGAUGAUCUUCAUUAUUAGAGCAUUGUCCCAUGUGAGGAAAGGAUGAUGGAGACUAUGAUUCCCCCACAAGUCGGGAUGAGACUCCGGACGAAAAAUAAAAAUAAAAAAAAUAAAAAAUGGCAAAAAAAAGAGAAGGCCCAAAAAAACAAAAAAAUGAAAGAAAAAAGAGAAGGGGCAAUGCUACUAUCCUUUUACCACACUUGUGCUUCAAAGUAGCACCAUGAUCUUCAUGAUAGAGAGUCUCCUAUGUUGCAACUUUCAUAUACUAGUGGGAAUUUUUCAUUAUAGAACUUGGCUUGUAUAUUCCAAUGAUGGGCUUCCUCAAAAUGCCCUAGGUCUUCAUGAGCAAGCAAGUUGGAUGCACACUGAUACGUCUCCAACAUAUCUAUAAUUUAUGAAGCAUUCAUGCUAUUAUAUUAUCUAUUUUGAAUGUUAUUGGGCUUUAUUAUACACUUAUAUAUUACUUUUGGGACUAACCUACUAACCGGAGGCCCAGCCCAUAUUGUUGUUUUAUUGCCUGUUUUAGUAUUUCAAAGAAAAGGAAUAUCAAACGGAGUCCAAACGGAAUGAAACCUUUCGGAGCGUGAUUUUUGGAAAGGAUAUGAUCCGGGAGACUUGGAGUUCAAGCCAGGGAAGGUUCGAGGAAGCCAGGAGAUAGGAGGGCACGCCCACCCCCCUAGGUGCGCCCCCAUGUCUCCUGGGCCCCUCGAGGCUCCCCCGACCGACUUCUUUCGCCUAUAUAAGUCCACGUACCCUAAAAACAUCGAAGACGAAGAUAUAUCGGGAGUUCCGCCGCCGCAAGCCUCUGUAGCCACCAAAAACCUCUCGGGAGCCUGUUCCGCUGCCCUACCGGAGGGGGAAUCCAUCACCAGUGGCCAUCUUCAUCAUCCCGGCGCUCUCCAUGACGAGGAGGGAGUAGUUCACCCUCGGGGAUGAGGGUAUGUACCAGUAGCUAUGUGUUUGAUCUCCCUCUCUCGUCUUCUCUCUAUGACACGAUCUUGAUGUAUCGCGAGCUUUGCUAUUAUAGUUGGAUCUUAUGAUGUUUCUCCCCCUCUACUCUCUUGUGAUGAAUUGAGUUUUCCUCUUGAAGUUAUCUUAUCAGAUUGAGUCUUUAAGGAUUUGAGAACACUUGAUGUAUGUCUUGUCGUGUUUAUCUGUGGUGAUAACGGGAUAUCACAUGCCACUUGAUGUAUGUUUUGGUGAUCAACUUGCGGGUUCCGCUCAUGAACCUAUGCAUAGGGGUUGGCACACGUUUUCGUCUUGACUCUCCGGUAGAAACUUUAGGGCACUCUUUGAAGUACUUUGUGUUGGUUGUAUAGAUGAAUAUGAGAUUGCGUGAUGCAUACCGUAUAAUCAUGCCCACGGAUACUUGAGGUGACAAUGGAGUAUCUAGGUGACAUUAGGUUUUGGUUGAUUUGUGUCUUAAGGUGUUAUUCUAGUACGAACUCUUGAAUAGAUCGAUCUGAAAGAAUAACUUUGAGGUGGUUUCGUACCCUACCAUAAUCUCUUCGUUUGUUCUCCGCUAUUAGUGGCUUUGGAGUGACUCUUUGUUGCAUGUUGAGGGAUUGUCAUAUGAUCUAUCUAUGUUAUUAUUGUUGAGAGAACUUGCACUAGUGAAAGUAUGAACCCUAUGCCUUGUUUCCUAUCAUUGCAAUACCGUUUACACUCACUUUUAUCAUUAGUUACCUUGCUAUUUUUAUAUUUUCAGAUUACAAAAACCUUUAUCUACCAUCAUUAUUGCACUUGUAUCACCAUCUCUUCGCCGAACUAGUGCACCUAUACAAUUUGCCAUUGUAUUGGGUGUGUUGGGGAAACAAGAGACUUUUUGUUAUUUUGUUGCAGGGUUGUUUGAGAGAGACCAUCUUCAUCCUACGCCUCCCACGGAUUGAUAAACCUUAGGUCAUCCACUUGAGGGAAAUUUGCUACUGUCCUACAAACCUCUGCACUUGGAGGCCCAACAACGUCUACAAGAAGAAGGUUGUGUAGUAGACAUCAAGCUCUUUUCUGGCGCCGUUGCCAGGGAGGUGAGUGCUUGAAGGUAUAUCUUUAGAUCUUGCAAUCAAAUCUUUUUGUUUCUUGUUUUAUCACUAGUUUAGUUUAUAAAAGAUAACUAAAAAUGGAGUUAAGUUUGUCUCAUACGCUUCAUCUUUCUAAUAUCUUUCGUGAGUAUGAUGGAAAGGAAAAUUGUGCUCAAUUGCUAGAAUAAGAAUGCAUUAAAAUGUCUGGUACUAGAUCUUUGUAUGAUGAGCAUGAUUGCAAUGUUGUUAGUGUGAACUCUUUGAAUAUCCAUAGUACUAAUGAUGAUUGCACUAGUUAUGAUGAAAAUGUCUCCUAUAAGCAUGUCGAUUUUUGUGGAGAGCAUUGGGUUUGCAUAGAUACACCAAAUAGAGAAGAUAGAUAUUGCAAGAGGCAUAAGUAUUUAGAGACUGAAGGGUUGCAAGAAAGGCUAGAUAAGAGUGCUGAGAAUUUAAGAUAUCUUUACCGUUGUGAACUUUGCAAUGAGCGUGAUCAUUUACAUCUCCAAUGCAAAUUGUUUCAUGAUGGAAUCGUGUCCCAAAACUGUGAUGAUUUGAUCUCCCUUGCUCAUUAUAAUGAACUUAGUUUGCUUUUGGGUUAUGAAGAAUUGAAACGUGCAACUAAGCUUAUUCCAAAAUUUAAUCUUGCGCAUUUCCUUGAUAUUGAUUUAGAGAAGAUUUAUUUGCUUUGUGCGGUGAAUUGCAUUGAAAAUCCUUAUAUUGCCAAUCACCUAAAGAAAAGAAAGCAAAUAGAAGAUGAUGAGAAUACUAAUGAAAGGGAAGAGACUUCCCAAUAUCCUCCUAUUAUUUCUUAUGAUGAAUCAGGUAACGAGGAGGAGCUUUCUAUUCAACCAAUCUCGUCAAUAAGGAGCUCAAAGAGGAAGGUUGAACCCACACAUAAUGUGAAGAAGAAAAAGAAAAGAAGGAGCAACAAAGGUAGAAAGGUAUCCCUCUCAAAUGUUGUUGCUCCUAAUACUCAUUGUGAUGAUGAUAAUUGCUAUACUAUUGGUGAUAUCCAUAUUUUUAAUGAUGAGAGUGAUUAUGCUUAUGAUAUGAAAGGGCCCAAGCUUGGGGAAGCUAUGUUUGAUGAGGAUAAAAUAUUUGAGAAUAUAUUUGCUGAAAUUAAUGUUUGUCCCAAGCUUGGGGAUGCUAUGUUUAAUGAAGAUGAUAUUAGCAUACCAAGUUUUGAUAUGCAAAGUUGUUAUGAUGAUAGCAUGCCUCUUACCUAUGAUGAUUAUAUUGAUGAAAGUGGGUUUGGAAGAGUGUCAACUUUAGGAAGUAGUUAUCCCACUAUUUUGGAGGAUGUUGAAUUUUAUUGUGAUGAAUAUGAAAGUGGAUUUCGAAGAGUGUCAACUUUAUUUAGUGAUUCCACUAUCUUGGGAGAGGUUUCAAUCGAUUAUGAUGAGAACGAAGUUGCUACUUAUGAUGAUUAUUGUGAUUAAACUUAUGCUAUAAAAAGUAGUGAUGAUUAUAUUUAUAAAACUUGUCAUGAUUAUCCUUUUUAUGAACAUUACUCUUUUAAUGUGGAAACAAUUUUUAGUGUUCAAGUCUCUUAUGAUACUCCCGCUAUUCCGAAUGAGAAGAAUUUUGCUUAUGUUGAGAGUAGUAAAUCUUCUGUGCUUGUAGAUCAUGAAAAGAAUGCUUUAGGUGCUGGUUAUAUUGUUGAAUUCAUUCAUGAUGCUACUGAACAUCAUUAUGAGGGAGGAACAUAUGCUUGUAGGAAUUGCAAUAAUGUCAAGUUUCCUCCGUAUGUGUUGAAAAUCGUGAAGCUAUGCUUGUUUUACCUUCGUAUGCUAGUUGAUUAUUGUUCUCAUAAGUUGUUUGCUCACAAAAUCUCUAUGCAUAGGAAGUGGGUUAGACUUAAAUGUGCUAGUCAUAUGCUUCAUGAUGCUCCCGUUAUGUUUCAAUUCUUAUCUUUUAUGUGAGCAUCAUUGUCAUCAUCAUGCCUAGCUAGAAAGUCAUUAAAGAAAAGUGCUUGUUGGGAGACAACCCAAUAUUUAUCCUUACUGUUUUUGUGUGUUCACAUGAUUAUGCUACUGUAAUAAUCAUGUUAUAGCUUUUGUUUCAAUAAAGUGCCAAGUAAGACCUUUAGGAUAGCUUACGGUAAUAGUUGUGUUUAUCCUGCUGAAAAUCAGAAACUUUUGCAUCAAGUAAAUUAGUUUUGUUAUUUCACAGAAACGUGCUCUUGAUCUUAUUCUUUUUGAUAGAGAUUGGUACACGAAUUGCUUAGGACUUCCUAAUUUUGUAGGAGUUUUGGAGUUCCAGAAGUAUACGUUUGUUACAUAUUACUACAGACUGUUCUGUUUUUGACAGAUUCUGUUUUCUAUGUGUUGUUUGCUUAUUUUGAUGAAUCUAGGAGUAGUAUCGGAGGGUAUGAACCAUAGAAAAGUUGGAAUACAGUAGAUAUUACACCAAUAUGAAUUCAGAAUGAGUUCAUUACAGUACCUAAGUGGUGGUUUUAUUUUCUUAUACUAACGGAGCUUACGAGUUUUCUGUUGAGUUUUGUGUUGUGAAGUUUUCAAGUUUUGGGUAAAGAUUCGAUGGACUAUGGAAUAAGGAGUGGCAAGAUCCUAAGCUUGGGGAUGCCCAAGGCACCCAAGGUAAUAUUCAAGGACAACCAAGAGCCUAAGAUUGGGGAUGCCCCAGAUGGCAUCCCCUCUUUCGUCUUUGUUCAUCGGUAACUUUACUUAGAGCUAUAUUUUUAUUCACCACGUGAUAUGUGUUUUGCUUGGAGUGUCAUUUUAUUUUGUCAUUAUUCGCUUGCUGUUAUUUAGAAUAAUGUUUUUCAUCUUCAGUUUCAAUAAAAAUGUCAAGGAUAGCCUUUACCAUGCUUAUUUUGCUAGUAUACAUAUUGCUGUUUGAAAACAGAAAGUUUACCGUUGUUGCAACAAUUUCCUAGAAAAGUCAGAGAAUGAUAUAAUGUUGAAACUUUUUGCUUAUUGAGAUCUGAUAAAUCUUCUACAGCGUAGUUGUUUUCUCAUAAUUUUUGGAGUUAGGGAAGUAUUGAUACUCUUGCGUUCUUUACAGACUAUACUGUUUUGGCAGAUCGCUGUUAUGGUUGCAUUGUUUGCAUAUGUUUGCUUAUUUAAUGAUUCUAUUUAAGGAUAGGAGUAUUAAAUAUGCAGAGGAAUUUAGUAUGCAAUGUUGAAUAAUAAUUUUAGUGAUUUGUUACAGUAGAAAAUGAUAAGGUUUUGCAUUGGUUUAUACUAACCUAUCUCACGAGUUCUUGUUGAGUUUGGUGUGGAUGAAGCUUUUGAUAAAAAGAGAAACCAUGAUAUGAGAGGAAUUAAGGAGACACAAAAGUUCAAGCUUGGGGAUGCCCAAGGCACCCAAGAUAAUAUUUCAAGAAGUCUCAAGCAUCUAAGCUUGGGGAUGCCCUGUUAGGCAUCCCACCUUUCUUCUUCAACAACUAUCGGUUAGUAUCGGUUGAGCCUAAGUUUUUGCUUCUUCACAUGAGUUAUGCUAUCCUUGCAAUGUCAUUUUAUUUUAUUUUGCUUGCUGUUUGAAUAAAAUACCAAGAUCUGAAAUUCUUUAAUGAGAGAGAGUCUUCACAUAGUUACAUAAUUAUUUAGCUACUCAUUGAUCUUCACUUAUAUCUUUUUGGAGUAGUUUUUCAUUUACUCGUGUGCUUCACUUAUAUCAUGUGAGUAAAUUGUUGAAUGAGUUGAUUGUCAUAAAUCUGAAAUUAUAUAUGUUUCAUUUGCUUAUCCCAUGGGGAGUAAUGACUUCACAUCUAAGAAGUAGAGGCUGAAGGUUAGCAAGCAUUGUAUUGGUCAUUUGAACAAUUCAUGAAAAAAUAUUUAAAGGAAGAGAGAUUUCACAUAUAAAUAUACUAUCCUAGACAUCUUUUAUAAUUGUGAGCACUCAUUAAGUAUGACAUGCUAAGGAGUUGAUGUUGGACAAGGAAGACAACGUAAUGGGUUAUGUUUUCUCACAUCUCAGUUAAAGUAUAUUGUCAUGGAUCAUUCAAACAUGUUGAGCUUGCUUUUCCCCCUCAUGCUAGCCAAAAUUCCUUGCACCAAGUAGAGAUACUACUUGUGCUUCCAAAUAUCCUUAAACCCAGUUUUUGCCAUGAGUGUCCACCAUACCUACCUAUAUGCGGUAUUUACCUACCGUUCCAAGCAAAUUUGCAUGUGCCAAACUCUAAACCUUCAAAUAAUAAUCUGUUUUGUAUGCCUGAAUCGCUCAUGUAGCGACUAGGGGUUGUCAGUAUCUUCCAUGCUAUGUGGGUUAUUCUCAAGAUGAGUGGACUCCACUCAUCAUUUAUGAGAAAAAUGGCUGGUAACCGGAAUGCCCAGUCCCAUGAUCAAAAGAUCAAAAUGAAAUCAAAAAUAAUUGCAAACAAAACUCCCCCAGGUUUGAUGUUAGUUGGAGGCACCCGUUGUUUCGGGCAAGCCAUGGAUUGAUGAUUGUUGGUGGAGGGGAGUAAAAACUUUUACCAUUCUGUUUGGGAACCGCCUAUAAUGUAUGUAGUAUGGAAGAUAUUGGGAACUCUUGGUUGUUAUGUUGACAAUGAGAUCAUACCUCUCAAAAUUAUUUAUCUCUAUUUCAAAAUUGAGCUCUAGCACCUCUAGAAAUCACUGCUUCCCUCUGCGAAGGGCCUAUCUUUUACUUUUAUGCAAGAGUCAAGGUGAUCUUCACCUUUCCUUUUUUUAUUUUAUCCUUUGGCAAGCACCUCAUGUUGGAAAUAUCUUGAUAUAUAUAUAUAUAUAUAUAUAUAUCCAAUUGGAUGUAAGUUAGCAUGAACUAUUAUUGUUGACAUCACCCAAAGGUGAAUACGUUGGGAGGCAACACUAUAAGCCCCUAUCUUUCUCAGUAUCCGAUUAAAACUCCAUAACCAUAAGUAUUGCGUGAGUGUUAGCAAUUGUAGAAGACUAUAUGAUAGUUGAGUAUGUGGAGUUUACUAAAUCAAAGCUCUGACAUAGACCCUUCCUGAAAAUAGGAUGAAUUGUAAUUUUUUGAUUACUAAGAAUGAAGUUUGCUAGUUUUCAAGAAAGUUUAUGGUCUAUGCUUUAACAUGUGAAUAGCUUGUUACUUGAUCUUGAGAAGUUUUAUGAGAUGAACUACUGUUAUGAAAUAUAAUCAUACUAGAAAAGGUGAUUGAAAUUAUCAUUGAUCAAACUUGUGCACCUGCUAGCAUUCACACUUCAUAAAUUCUUUCUUUUAUCAUUUACCUACUCGAGGACGAGUAGGAAUUAAGCUUGGGGAUGCUGAUACGUCUCCAACAUAUCUAUAAUUUAUGAAGCAUUCAUGCUAUUAUAUUAUCUGUUUUGAAUGUUUAUGGGCUUUAUUAUACACUUUUAUAUUACUUUUGGGACUAACAUACUAACCGGAGGCCCAGCCCAUAUUGUUGUUUUAUUGCCUGUUUCAGUAUUUCGAAGAAAAGGAAUAUCAAACGGAGUCCAAACGGAAUGAAACCUUCGGGAGCGUGAUUUUUGGAAAGGAUAUGAUUCGGGAGACUUGGAGUUCAAGCCAGGGAAGGUUCGAGGAAGCCAGGAGAUAGGAGGGCACGCCCACCCACCCCCCACCCCCCCGGGUGCGCCCCUGUCUCCUGGGCCCCUCGAGGCUCUCCCGACCGACUUCUUUCGCCUAUAUAAGUCCAUGUACCCUAAAAACAUCGAAGACAAAGAUAGAUCAGGAGUUCCGCCACCGCAAGCCUCUAUAGCCACCAAAAACCUCUCAGGAGCCCGUUCCGGCGCCCUGCCGGAGGGGGAAUCCAUCACCGGUGGCCAUCUUCAUCAUCCCGGCGCUCUCCAUGACGAGGAGGGAGUAGUUCACCCUCGGGGAUGAGGGUAUGUACCAGUAGCUAUGUGUUUGAUCUCUCUCUCUCUCGUCUUCUCUCUAUGGCGCGAUCUUGAUGUAUCGCGAGCUUUGCUAUUAUAGUUGGAUCUUAUGAUGUUUCUCCCCCUCUACUCUCUUGUGAUGAAUUGAGUUUUCCUCUUGAAGUUAUCUUACCGGAUUGAAUCUUUAAGGAUUUGAGAACACUUGAUGUAUGUAUUGUCGUGUUUAUCUGUGGUGACAAUGGGAUAUCACGUGCCACUUGAUGUAUGUUUUGCUGAUCAACUUGCGGGUUCCGCUCAUGAACCUAUGCAUAGGGGUUGGCACACAUUUUCGUCUUGACUCUCCGGUAGAAAAUUUAGGGCACUCUUUGAAGUACUUUGUGUUGGUUGAAUAGAUGAAUCUGAGAUUGUGUGAUGCAUAUCGUAUAAUCAUGCCCACGGAUACUUGAGGUGACAAUGGAGUAUCUAGGUGACAUUAGGGUUUUGGUUGAUUUAUGUCUUAAGGUGUUAUUCUAGUACGAACUCUUGAAUAGGUCGAUCCGAAAGAAUAACUUUGAGGUGGUUUCGUACCCUACCAUAAUCUCUUCGUUUGUUCUCCGCUAUUAGUGGCUUUGGAGUGACUCUCUGUUGCAUGUUGAGGGAUUGUCAUAUGAUAUAUCUAUGUUAUUAUUGUUGAGAGAACUUGCACUAGUGAAAGUAUGAACCCUAUGCCUUGUUUCCUAUCAUUGCAAUAUUGUUUAUGCUCACUUUUAUCAUUAGUUACCUUACUGUUUUUAUAUUUUCAGAUUACAAAAACCUUUAUCUACCAUCAUUAUUGCACUUGUAUCACCAUCUCUUCGCUGAACUAGUGCACCUAUACAAUUUGCCAUUGUAUUGGGUGUGUUGGGGACACAAGAGACUUUUUGUUAUUUGGUUGCAGGAUUGUUUGAGAGAGACCAUCUUCAUCCUAUGCCUCCCACGGAUUGAUAAACCUUAGGUCAUCCACUUGAGGGAAAUUUGCUAAUGUCCUACAAACCUCUGCACUUGGAGGCCCAACAACGUCUACAAGAAGAAGGUUGUGUAGUAGACAUCACACACCCACUUAGUUUCUUUUUGAGCUUUCAUAAAAUUAUAGCUCUAGUGCAUCCGUUGCAUGGCAAUCCCUACUCACUCACAUUGAUAGCUAUUGAUGGGCAUCUCCAUAGCCCGUUGGUAUGCCUAGUUGAUGUGAGACUAUCUCCUUCUUUUUGUCUUCUCCACAACCACCAUUCUAUUCCACCUAUAGUGUUAUGUCCAUGGCUCACGCUCAUGUAUUGCGUAAAAGUUGAAAAUGUUUGAGAACAUCAAAAGGUUGAAACAAUUGCUUGGAUUGUCAUCGGGGUUGUGCAUGAUUUGAAUAUUUUGUGUGAUGAAGAUGGAGCAUAGCCAAAUUAUAUGAUUUUGUAGGGAUAGCUUGCUUUGGCCAUGUUAUUUUGAGAAGACAUGAUUGCUUUAUUAGUAUGCUUGAAGUAUUAUUGCUUUUAUGUCAAUAUUAAAAUUUUAUUUUGAAUCUUAUGGAUUUGAAUAUUCUUGCCACAAUAAAGAAUAUUACAUUGUUAAAUAUGUUAGGUAGCAUUCCACAUCAAAAAAAUUGUUUUUAUCAUUUACCUACUCGAGGACGAGCAAGAAUUAAGCUUGGAGAUGCUUGAUACGUCUCCAACGUAUCUAUAAUUUUGAACUAUUCCAUGUUAUUAUAUUAUCCAUCUUGAAUGUUUUAUAUGCAUUUAUAUGAUUUUUUGGACUAACCUAUUAACCUAGAGCCCAGUGCCAAUUUCUGUUUUUUCCUUGUUUUUGAGUAUCGCAGAAAAGGAAUACCAAACGGAGUCCAGUUGACCUGAAAAUUCACGGAGAUUGUUUCUGGACCAAAAGAAACCCACGGAGCAUCGGAGAUGGACCAGAAGAGUUCUGAUGCCACCACGAGAGUGGAGGGCGCGCCCCCUACAUUUUGGCUUCCUCAUGGACCCCCUGACUUGUUCUCGACGCCAACACCUCUUAUAUAUCCCCAAACUUCCAGAACAGAACCUAGAUCGGGAGUUCCGCAGCCGCAAGCCUCUGUAGCCACCAAAAACCAAUUGGGACCCUGUUCCAGCACCCUGCCGAAGGGGGAAUCCAUCACCGGUGGCCAUCUUCAUCAUCCCGGUGCUCUCCAUGACGAGGAGGGAGUAGUUCACCCUCAGGGCUGAGGGUAUGUACCAGUAGCUAUGUGUUUGAUCUCUAUCUAUCUAUCUAUCUAUCUAUCUCGUGUUCUUGAUUCUGCACGAUCUUGAUGUACCGCGAGCUUUGCUAUUAUAGUUGGAUCUUAUGAUGUUUCUCCCCGACCCUCUACCUUAUUGUAAUGGAUUGAGUUUUCCCCUUGAAGUUAUCUUAUCGGAUUGAGUCUUUAAGGAUUUGAGAACACUUGAUAUAUGUCUUGCAUUUGCUUAUCUGUGGUGACAAUGGGAUAUUCAUGUGAUCCACUUGAUGUAUGUCUUGGUGAUCAACUUGCGGGUUCUGUGACCUUGUGAACUUAUGCAUAGGGGUUGGCACACGUUUUCGUCUUGACUCUCCGGUAGAACCUUUAGGGCACUCUUUGAAGUUCUUUGUGUUAGUUUGAAUAGAUGAAUCUGAGAUUAUGUGAUGCAUAUCGUAUAAUCAAACCCGCGGAUACUUGUGGUGACAUUGGAGUAUCUAGGUGACAUUAGGGUUUUAGUUGAUGUGUGUCUUAAGGUGUUAUUUUACUACAAACUCUAGGGUUGUUUGUGACACUUAUAGGAAUAGCCCAAUGGAUUGAUCAGAAAGAAUAACUUUGAGGUGGUUUCGUACCCUACAAUAAUCUCUUUGUUUGUUCUCCGCUAUUAGUGACUUUGGAGUGACUCUUUGUUGCAUGUUGAGGGAUUGUUAUAUGAUCCAAUUAUGUUAUUAUUGUUGAGAGAACUUGCACUAGUGAAAGUAUGAACCCUAGGCCUUGUUUCGAAGCAUUGCAAUACCGUUUUCACUCCCGUUUACUACUUGCUACCUUGCUGUUUUUAUAUUUUCAGAUUACAAAAACCUAUAUCUACCAUCCAUAUUGCACUUGUAUCACCAUCUCUUCGCCGAACUACUGCACCUAUACAAUUUAUCAUUGUAUUGGGUGUGUUGGGGACACAAUAGACUCUUUGUUAUUUGGUUGCAGGGUUGUUUGAGAGAGACCAUCUUCAUCCUAUGCCUCCCACGGAUUGAUAAACCUUAGGUCAUCCACUUGAGGGAAAUUUGCUACUGUCCUACAAAGCUCUGCACUUGGAGGUCCAACAAUGUCUACAAGAAGAAGGUUGCGUAGUAGACAUCAACAAGCUGCUAACCCCAUCUAGACAAUGAGGGAAGAAGAGUUGAUGCUACACCGAGAGAUCCUCAUCUGCCAUCAAGCUCGUCGUGGAGAGAGAAAGAGAGGCCAACAACGACGCUCCAAAGCGCCGCCCUAGGAUAGCAAAGACGUCGGCCACCACGCCGCCGCCAAGAAGGCGGCCGACGCAAACUAGAGAAACCCUAGUCGCCUUGUGGGUUUCCUUUACCGAAAAAGGCUUUCGCCCCGCUUUAUCAAUAAAGCAAACCACCAAGCACAAAGUCAACAAGUCCCACACGAACAACACACACACACACACACACAAUGCCACCGCAGGCAUGGUCCAGCACACAUGCACGCACGCAAACACUACCCAAGGUUUAGUUGUGGGCACAACACAACAAGCCCAACUCAGAAAUGAGGCACGCACAACACAUAAACGGUGGUGGCGGCGAGGUAGAGAGGAUCUAAUCUGGCUCUGGAGGUGGGGGAAGCGGAGGAGCCAUCCGGAGAGCCAUCACGUGAAGCUGUGUGAUGAUGGAGGUGAUGGCGUCUCUCUCCCUAGGGAGGCUAAGCGUCCACCAAUGCUGCAAGUAACCAGACCAUUUGAACAAAGCAUCAGUAGCGCGAUGAAGAGGGACGUGCUGAAUCACAAGCUUAUUCCUAGUAGUCCAUAGCGUCCAGGCUAGCACACCAAUGGUCACCACCUAAUGUGGCGAGACACGAGUGGUGACGCUUGGAGUUCGGCAAAGAGAGUGGGGAAGUUGUUGUGGUCCCAGCUUCCACCCAUCAAUUUGCGGAAACAGCUCCAAAGAAACUGCUCGGACACACAGGUGAAGAAGAUAUGGUUCGUAUCCUCUUCAGGCCCGCAGAGCGGGCAUCACCCAUCCCCAGGGCCAUUGUGUUUCAGGACCUCUACGCCAGAUGGAAGGCGACCGCGAAUCCAUUGCCACAAGAAGAUCCUAAUAUUUAAGGGAAGCCGAAUCGCCCAAAUGGUGGUGAGAGCCUUAGGACCCGGCGAAGGGGCUAUAGCCAGGUAGAGAGAUUUAGAGGAGAACUGUCUAGAUGGGUCAAUACGCCACCUGGUGUGGUCCUCACCCAUCUCCAGGUCCGGCUCAUGCAGAGCAAUGCAGUCGAGCAAGUCCUGCCACAUCGCAUUCUUAGCCAGUCCAAAUGGCCUCCGGAACGCGAGAUGCCCUAAGUCAAUAAGGGCCACCGCGACAGAAAUUCGCAGAUCAACCGCGAUGGUGAACAGGUCAAUAAAGCGCGCCACGAAGGGGGUUUCCCCAGCCCAUCUAUCGAACCAACCGCAAUUGAGGUCCCGAUGCGGAGGACUGGAAGGAGCUGUAUGAUGGAUUGCUAGAACUGGGAGCCACUGGACCGCUGGCAGAAGGCGAGAGGCUGACCACGUAGGUAUUUCUGCUGGAUAAUGCGAAGCCACAAGCCCCCCUCCCCGUUCGCAAUCUGCCAAAGCCACCUAGUCAGGAGAGCAAUGUUCAUGCGUUUGGAGGACAUGAUCCCGAGUCCGCCCUGAUCGCGAGGUUUACAGAUCUCCGACCACCGAAGUUCUGCUUAUCACCCUUGCCAGCCGAGAAGAAGCGCCCCUGAACUGUGGCAAUCUCAUGCUGCAGAGUCUCAGGCAGGCUGUAUAAGUUCAUAAUGAAUAGGAGCAGGCUGGAAAGGGACGAGUUAAUGAGCACAGUCCGGGCAGCCUUAGAGAGCCAUAGGCUCUGCCAAGGUUCAAUGCGGUGCUGAAGCUACCCCAUCGUGGGGCGCAGCUCGGCCACCAUGAGCCUCGUGUCGCUAAUGGGGAUCCCCAAAUAAGUCGAAGGGAAGCUCCCGAGCUGGCAGUUGAGGCAGUCCGCGAUGCUCUGUCGCUCGUCUUGGGGGUAUCCCAAGACCAUGACCGUACUCUUAUCAAAGUUGAUCCUGAGGUCAGACAUCUGCUGAAAGCAGAGCAGGAGGAACUUAAAGUUCGUGAUGUCAUUCGCUGAUCCUUCCAUCAUUAUAAUGGUGUCAUCUGCAUAAUGGAGAAGGGAAAUCCCAUUCCCUCCUACCAAAUGUGGGACAAUGCCCUAAUAUGUCCCGCAGCCUUGGCUUUAUCUAGGAUGGCUGCCAGAGCAUCAACAACCAUGUUGAAGAGGAACGGAGAGAAGGGAUUGCCCUGACGGACCCCACAUAAUGUCCAAUCUCGCCAUUUAUGUUCUCCGCGGUCCGGCCCAAGGAGACCAUUUGCAUCACGAGGGUCACCCAUCUAUCGUCGAAUCCCUUCCGGAGGAACCAUUCCCGGAGGAACGGCCAACUGACCGUGCCGUAUGCCUUUUGGAAGCCCAGUUUCAGGAAAACUGCCUUGAGGCGUUUGGAGUGCACCUCAUGGAGUGCUUUGUGAAACACUAGGACUACAUCAAGGAUAUAUCAGCCCUGGAUGAAUGCCGACUGAUCCGGGUGUGUGAUCUGGUCCGCUAUUGGGCCACCCUAAUGGCGUACCCCUUCGCAAGGAUGCGGAAGAUGGAAUGGAUCACCGUAAUCAGUUGGAACUGGCGGAUAUCCGAUGCUCCAGUUACUUUGGGAAUGAGGGUGAUAAUCCCAAAGUUCAGCCUAGUAAGGUCGAUGGAACCUACAUAGAACUCCUCAAAGAGGGCCAUCACCUCCGGUUUAAUUACCUCCCAGAAGGUCUGGAAAAACUUCACGGGGAGGCCACCUGGGUCAGGGCCGACGAUGGAUUCAUGCCCUUAACGGCCGCCCAAACUUCUGCCUCGGAGAACGGGGCUGUAAGGGACACAUUGUCCGCAGGCGAGACACGUCUAUGGGCCAGCCAAAUGUCAUGUGCGAGGGUCAGCCCUCCCCGAGGGGAGGCAGAGAAUAUGUCUCUAUAAAAACCGUCUACAUGGGCCCGGAUAUCCUCCAGCUGCUGUAGGAGGGUCUCUCCAUCCCAAAGGAGAGGGAUGGAGUUACAGCAUCACCGGCCGUUGGCGAUGGCCGGGAAGUAAGCGGUAUUGGCAUCCCCCUUGAGGACCCAAUUCUGUGUACCCCGCAAGCACCAGUAUGCAUCCUCAUCUGUGUAGAUGAUCGUGAGCUAGUCUUCCAAGUCAUAUCUAAGCAUCCAUUCCUCGACAGAUAGUCCCGCGCCAUCCACGCGGAGAUUGAGGGCCUGGAUGGCCUCUGGGAGGACUUUCUUGCGCUCCCGGAUAUCACGGCCCAUGUUAGCACCCCAUCCGUUCAUGAAUUAUCGUGACCACUUUGCACAGAAGUGCCAGGAGUCAACGGCCGAGAGGGAUCGAUGGGGGGCUCCGUGCGCCUCUUGCCACCUAGCGAGCACCGCAGCGGCAAACCCAGGCCGGCGUAACCAGAGGGUUUCGAAUCAGAAGCGGGUGCUGAUGUCGCUUGAAGCUACGUUGGUAUUUCCCCAAAGAGGAAGGGAUGAUGCAGCACAAUGGCGGUAGGUAUUUCCCUCAGAUAUGAAACCAAGGUUAUCGAACCAGUAGGAGAACCAAGCAACACAACGUAAACAGCCCCUGUACACAAAUAACAACACCUCGCAACCCGAUGUGUUAAAGGGGUUGUCAAUCCUUUUCGGGGUACGACGCCUCAAGAUAGGCAAAGGACGUGAGGUAAAUUUGUAGAUAGGAUAAAUAGAUCGUGGAACAAAUAAAUUGCAGCAAGGUAAUUUUUGUAUUUUUGGUUUAAUAGAUCUGAAAAUAAAUGCAAGAGAAAAUAGAUCGCAAAGGCAAAUAUGAUGAAAAGAGACCCGGGGGCCGUAGGUUUCACUAGUGGCUUCUCUUGAGAAAAAUAGCAAACGGUGGGAAAACAAUUACUGUUGGGCAAUUGAUAGAACUUCAAUUAAUCAUGACGAUAUCCAGGCAAUGAUCAUUACAUAGGCAUCACAUCCAAGAUUAGUAGACUGACUCCUGCCUGCAUCUACUACUAUUUCUCCACACAUCGACCGCUAUCCAGCAUGCAUCUAGUGUAUUAAGUUCAUGACAAAACGGAGUAGUGCAAUAAUAACGAUGACAUGAUGUAGACAAGAUCCGUUUAUCUAUUGCAGCAGAUAUGGAUCCCAUCUUUUUAUCCUUAGUAGCAACGAUACAUACGUGUCGGUUCCCUUUCUGACACUGGGAUCAAGCACCGUAAGAUCAAACCCACUAUCGGGCACCUCUUCCCAUUGCAAGAUAAAUAGAUCAAGUUGGCCAAACAAAACCCAAAUAUCGAAUAAGAAAUAUGAGGCUAUAAGCAAUCAUGCAUAUAAGAUAUCAAAGAAGACUCAACUAACUUUCAUGGAUAAAAACAUAGAUCUGAUCAUAAACUCAAAGUUCAUCGGAUCCCAACAAACACACCGCCAAAAGACUUACAUCAUAUGGAUCUCCAAGAGACCAUUGUAUUGAUAAUCAAGAGAGAGAGAGAGAGAAAGAGAGAGAGGAAGCCAUCUAGCUACUAUCUACGGACCCGUAGGUCUACAAAGAACUACUCACACAUCAUAGGAGAGGCACCACUGGAAGUGGUGAACCCCUCCAUGAUGGUGUCCAGAUUGGAUCUUGGUGGUUCUAGACUCUGCGGCGGCUGGAUGAAUAUUUCGUCGACUCCCCUAGGGUUUCUGGAAUAUUGGGGUGUUUAUAGAGCAAAGAGGCGGUCCGGGGGGCACCCGAGGUGGGCACAACCCACCAGGGCGUGCCCUAGUGGGUUGUCCCCUCCUCGGGACUCCCCCCAAGUGCAACCAGGGCCCAACUUCUUCCUUUUGGUCCAUAAAAAAUCAUCGUAAAGUGGUGUGGCAUUUGGAAUACGUCUGGUAUUGAUUUCCUGCCAUGUAAAAAACAUGCAGAAAACAACAACUGGCACUUGGCACUAUGUCAAUAGGUUAGUACCAAAAAUGAUAUGAAAUGACUAUAAAAUGAUUGUAAAACAUCCAAGAAUGAUAAUAUAACAGCAUGGAACAAUAAAAAAAUUAUAGAUAUGUUGGAGACGUAUGAGGCGGCAGGGGAGGACAUUCGUUCUACGAAGAGAGGAGAAGGGGAACGUGAUUGAAUCCAAUCCGAGUAAUCGCCGGGAGCAAUGCUGGGGGCAACGAAUGUCCCACUCAGGAGAUGCGAAGACCCUAUCGAGGACUGAGUGGGUCGGCUCCGCUUGGCGGUUGGUCCAAGUGAAUCUGGCUCGGACCCUAUCAAGCUUGCGAAGCCCCAAGUCCGCGACGCAGUCAUUGAACAUCUGCAUCUGGGGGAAGUUAACCAAGUUGUUGUUGGGGAAUGUAGCAGAAAAUAAAAAAAUUCUACGCAUCACCAAGAUCAAUCUAUGGAGUCAUCUAGCAACGAGAGAGAGGAGUGCAUCUACAUACCCUUGUAGAUCGCGUGCGGAAGCGUUCAAGAGAACAGGGUUGAAGGAGUCGUACUCGUCGUGAUCCAAAUCACCGAUGAUCCUAGCGCCGAACGGACAGCACCUCCGUGUUCAACACACGUAUGGUUGGGGAAGACGUCUCCUCCUUAUUGAUCCAGCAAGGGGGAGGGAGAGGUUGAUGGAGAUCCAGCAGCACGACGGCGUGGUGGUGGAAGUAGCGGCGAUCUCGGCAGGGCUUCGCCAAGCUCAGCGAGAGGGAGAGGUGUUACGGAGGGAGAGGGAGGCGCCAGGAGCAAGGGUGCGCAGCCCUCCCUCCCCCCUCUUUAUAUAGGGGCCCUGGGGGGCGCCGGCCCCCUAGAGAUUGAAUCUCAAGGGGGGCGGCGGCCAAGGGGGGACUUGCCCCCCAAGCCAAGUGGGGCGCCCCCCACCCCUAGGGUUUCCAACCCUAGGCGCAGGGGGAGGCCCAAGGGGGUGCACCAGCCCACCAGGGGCUGGUUCCCCUCCCACUUCAGCCCAUGGGGCCCUCCGGGAUAGGUGGCCCCACACGGUGGACCCCUGGGACCCUUCCGGUGGUCCCGGUACAAUACCGGUGAUCCCCGAAACUUUCCCGGUGGCCGAAACUGGACUUCCUAUAUAUAAAUCUUCACCUCCGGACCAUUUCGGAACACCUCGUGACGUCCGGGAUCUCAUCUGGGACUUCAAACAACUUUCGGGUUACCGCAUACUUAUAUCUCUACAACCCUAGCAUCACCGAACCUUAAGUGUGUAGACCCUACGGGUUCGGGAGACACGCAGACAUGACCGAGACGACUCUCCGGCCAAUAACCAACAGCGGGAUCUGGAUACCCAUGUUGGCUCCCACAUGUUCCACGAUGAUCUCAUCGAAUGAACCACGAUGUCGAGGAUUCAAGUAAUCCCGUAUACAAUUCCCUUUGUCAAUCGGUACGUUACUUGCCCAAGAUUCGAUCGUCGGUAUCCCAAUACCUCGUUCAAUCUCGUUACCGGCAAGUCACUUUACUCGUACUACAAUGCAUGAUCCCAUGACCAACCACUUGGUCACUUUGAGCUCAUUAUGAUGAUGCAUUACCGAGUGGGCUCAAAGAUACCUCUCCGUCAUACGGAGUGACAAAUCCCAGUCUCGAUUCGAGUCAACCCAACAAACACUUUCGGAGAUACCUGUAGUAUACCUUUAUAGCCACCCAAUUACGUUGUCACGUUUGGUACACCCAAAGCACUCUUACGGUAUCCGGGAGUUACACGAUCUCAUGGUAUAAGGAAACGAUACUUAACAUUAGAAAAGCUCUAGCAAACGAACUACACGAUCUUGUGCUAUGCUUAGGAUUGGGUCUUGUCCAUCACAUCAUUCUCCCAAUGAUGUGAUCCCAUUAUUAAUGACAUCCAAUGUCCAUGGUUAGGAAACCAUGACCAUCUAUUGAUAAAUGAGCUAGUCAACUAGAGGCUCACUAGGGACAUGUUUUGGUCUAUGUAUUCACACAUGUAUUACGAUUUCCGGAUAACACAAUUAUAGCAUGAACAAUAGACAAUUAUCAUGAACAAGGAAAUAUAAUGAUAACCAUUUUAUUAUUGCCUCUAGGGCAUAUUUCCAAUAGUCUCCCACUUGCACUAGAGUCAACUAUCUAGUUACAUUGUGAUGAAUCGAACACCCAUAGAGUUCUGGUGUUGAUCAUGUUUUGCUCGCGGAAGAGGUUUAGUCAACGGAUCUGCGACAUUCAGAUCCGUGUUCACUUUACAAAUAUAUAUGUCUCCAUCUUGAACAUUUUCACAAAUGGAGUUGAAGCGACGCUUGAUGUGUCUGGUCUUCUUGUGAAACCUGGGCUCCUUGGCAAGGGCAAUAGCUCCAGUGUUGUCACAGAAGAGAGUCAUCGGCCCGCAUUGGGAAUAACUCCUAGGUCGGUAAUGAACUCCUUCAUCCAGAUUGCUUCAUGUGGUGCCUCCGAGGCUGCCAUGUACUCCGCUUCACAUGUAGAUCCCGCCACGACGCUUUGCUUGCAACUGCACCAACUUACUGCCCCACCAUUCAAAAUAUACACGUAUCCGGUUUGUGACUUAGAGUCAUCCAGAUCUGUGUCGAAGCUAGCGUCGACAUAACCCUUUACGACGAGCUCUUCGUCACCUCCAUAUACAAGAAACAUAUCCUUAGUCCUUGUCAGGUACUUCAGGAUAUUCUUGACCGUUGUCCAGUGUUCCAUGCCGGGAUUACUUUGGUACCUUCCUACCAAACUUACGGCAAGGUUUACAUCAGGUCUAGUACACAGCAUGGCAUACAUGAUAGACCCUAUGGCCGAGGCAUAGGGGACGACACUCAUCUUUUCUCUAUCUUCUGCCGUGGUCGGACAUUGAGCCGAGCUCAGUUUCACACCUUGCAACACAGGCAAGAACCCCUUCUUGGACUGAUCCAUAUUGAACUUCUUCAAUAUCUUAUCAAGGUAUGUGCUUUCUGAAAGACCUAUGAGGCGUCUCGAUCUAUCUCUAUAGAUCUUGAUGCCUAAUAUGUAAGUAGCUUCUCCAAGGUCCUUCAUUGAAAAACACUUAUUCAAGUAGGCCUUAAUGAUGUCCAAAAGUUCUAUAUCAUUUCCCAUCAAAAGUAUGUCAUCCACAUAUAAUAUGAGAAAUGCUACAGAGCUCCCACUCACUUUCUUGUAAACGCAGGCUUCUCCAUAAGUCUGCAUAAACCCAAACGCUUUGAUCAUUUCAUUAAACUCCGAGAUGCUUGCACCAGCCCAUAGAUGGAGCAUUGGAGCUUGCAUACCUUGUUAGCAUUCUUAGGAUCGACAAAACCCUCCGGUUGCAUCAUAUACAAUUCUUCCUUAAGAAAGUCGUUAAGGAAUGCCGUUUUGACAUCCAUUUGCCAUAUCUCAUAAUCGUAGAAUGCGGUAAUUGCUAACAUGAUUCGGACGGACUUAAGCUUCGCUACGGGUGAGAAGGUCUCAUCAUAGUCAACCCCUUGAACUUGUCGAUAACCCUUAGCGACAAGUCGAGCCUUAUAGAUGGUAACAUUACCAUCCGCAUCCGUCUUCUUCUUAAAGAUCCAUUUGUUUUCUAUCGCUCGCCGAUCAUCGGGCAAGUCUAUCAAAGUCCAUACUUUGUUUUCAUACAUGGAUCCUAUUCGGAUUGCAUGGCUUCAAGCCAUUUGUUGGAAUCUGGGCCCGCCAUCGCUUCUUCAUAGUUCGAAGGUUCACCGUUGUCUAAGAACAUGAUUUCCAAGACAGGGUUGCCAUACCAUUCUGGUGUGGAACGUGUCCUUGUGGACCUUCGAAGUUCAGUAGCAACUUGAUCUGAAGUACCUUGAUCAUCAUCAUUAACUUCCUCUCUAGUCGGUGCAGGCACCACAGGAACAUCUUCCUGAGCUACGCUACUUUCCAGUUCAAGAGGCAGUACUUCAUCGAGUUUUACUUUCCUCCCACUUACUUCUUUCGAGAGAAACUCUUUCUCCAGAAAGGACCCAUUCUUAGCAACAAAGAUCUAGCCUUCGGAUCUGAGGUAGAAGGUAUACCCAAUGGUUUCCUUAGGGUAUCCUAUGAAGAUGCAUUUUUCCGACUUGGGUUCGAGCUUUUCAGGUUGAAGUUUCUUGACAUAAGCAUCGCAUCCCCAAACUUUUAGAAACGACAGCUUAGGUUUCUUCCCAAACCAUAAUUCAUACGGUGUCGUCUCAACGGAUUUAGACGGUGCCCUAUUUAAAGUGAAUGUAGCUAGAGCGUAUCCCCAAAAUGAUAGCGGUAAAUCGGUGAGUGACACCAUAGAUCGCACCAUAUCCAAUAGAGUGCGAUUACGACGUUCGGACACACCGUUACGCUGAGGUGUUCCAGGCAGCGUGAGUUGUGAAACGAUUCCACAUUUCCUUAAGUGCGUACCAAAUUUGUGACUUAAAUAUUCUCCCCCAUGAUCUGAUCGCAAGAACUUUAUCUUCCGGUCACGUUGAUUCUCUACCUCAUUCUGAAAUUCCUUGAACUUUUCAAAGGUCUCGGACUUGUGUUUCAUCAAGUAGACAUACCCAUAUCUACUCAAGUCGUCAGUGAGAGUGAGAACAUAACGAUAGCCUCCGCGAGCCUCAACGCUCAUUGGACCGCACACAUCAGUAUGUAUGAUUUCCAAUAAGUUGGUUGCUCGCUCCAUUGUUCCGGAGAACGGAGUCUUGGUCAUUUUUCCCAUGAGGCAUGGUUCGCAUGUGUCAAAUGAUUCAUAAUCAAGAGACUCCAAAAGUCCAUCAGCAUGGAGCUUCUUCAUGCGUUUGACACCAAUGUGACCAAGGCAGUAGUGCCACAAGUAUGUGGGACUAUCGUUAUCAACUUUACAUCUUUUGGUAUUCACACUAUGAAUAUGUGUAACAUCACGUUUGAGAUUCAUCAAGAAUAAACCAUUGACCAGCGGGGCAUGACCAUAAAACAUAUCUCUCAUAUAAAUAGAACAACCAUUAUUCUCAGAUUUAAAUGAGUAGCCAUCUCGUAUUAAACGAGAUCCAGAUACAAUGUUCAUGCUCAAAGCUGGCACUAAAUAACAAUUAUUGAGGUUUAAAACUAACCCCGUAGGUAAAUGUAGAGGUAGCGUGCCGACGGCGAUCACAUCGACCUUGGAACCAUUCCCGACGCGCAUCAUCACCUCGUCCUUCGCCAGUCUCCGCUUAUUCCACAGCUCCUGUUUUGAGUUACAAAUAUGAGAAACUGCACCGGUAUCAAAUACCCAGGAGCUACUACGAGUACUGGUAAGGUACACAUCAAUUACAUGUAUAUCACAUAUACCUUUGGUGUUGCCGGCCUUCUUGUCCGCUAAGUACUUGGGGCAGUUCCGCUUCCAGUGUCCGCUUCCCUUGCAAUAAAAGCACUCAGUCUCAGGUUUGGGUCCAUGCUUUGGCUUCUUCCCGGCAACUGGCUUACCAGGCGCGGAAACUCCCUUGCCGUCUUUCUUGAAGUUCUUAUUACCCUUCGCCUUUCUUGAAACUAGUGGUUUUAUUGACCAUCAACACUUGAUGUUCAUUUUUGAUCUCCACCUCCGCUGAUUUCAGCAUUGAAUAUACCUCAGGAAUGGUUUUCACCAUCCCUUGCAUAUUGAAGUUCAUCACGAAGCUCUUGUAGCUAGGUGGGAGCGACUGGAGGAUUCUGUCGACCACCGCAUCAUCUGGGAGAUUAACUCCCAGCUGAGAUAAGCGGUUGUGCAACCCAGACAUUUUGAGUAUGUGCUCGCUGACAGAACCAUUCUCCUCCAUCUUACAACUGUAUAACUUGUCGGAGACUUCAUAUCUCUCGACCCGGGCGUGAGCUUGGAAAACCAUUUUCAGCUCUUGGAACAUCUCAUAUGCUUUGUGCUGCUCAAAACGCUUUUGGAGCCCCGGUUCUAAGCUGUAAAGCAUGCCGCACUAAACCAGGGAGUAAUCAUCACUACGCGACUGCCAGGCGUUCAUAACGUCUUGAGUUGCUGGGAAAACGGGUGCUUCACCUAGCGGUGCAUCUAGGACAUAUGCUUUCUUGGCAGCUAUAAGGAUGAUCCUCAAGUUCCGGACCCAGUCCGUAUAGUUGAUGCCAUCGUCUUUCAGCUUCGUUUUCUCUAGGAACGCUUUGAAGUUGAGGGCAACAUUAGCGUGGGCCAUUUGAUCUACAAGACAUAUUGCAAAGAUUUUAGAAUAAGUUCAUGAUAAUUAAGUUCAUCUAAUCAAAUUAUAUAAUGAACUCCCACUCAGAUAGACAUCCCUCUAGUCAUCUAAGUGAUCCAUGAUCCGAGUCAACUAGGCCGUGUCCGAUCAUCACGUGAGACGGACUAGUCAUCAUCGGUGAACAUCUUCAUGUUGAUCGUAUCUUCUAUACGACUCAUGUUCGACCUUACGACUCAUGCCCGCAAGUUCAUCCAACCAAGUUCAAAUGCAAACUAAGUUCAAGACAUAUGAAAGACACAUCAAUCAUCUUCCUCGUCUUCGUCCUCAUCUUCCGAAGACGAUUCUUCCGCCUCCGAAGAUGAAUCUUCCUCCCUCUCCUCAUCACGCACCGCAUCACGUGAAGCUCCGACGGUGUUGGCAAGAUCUUCAACGGCAUAUUCAUGGGAAUGUGUGUGAGAAGGCACAUCGAAAGACAUUCCACCCAUGGCGGCCGGUGGUGCACCCAUGCCUCCCAUGAGAGAAGCAAAACUCAUGACACCCAUGGCGACCAUAGCGUCGGAGGGUGCUCCAAAGCCACCCAUGCCUCCCAUGGUGGCCGGAGAUGCACCCAUGCCUCCCAACGAGUGGUGCGUGUUGGUGGCCGGCUCAACGAGUGAGCUCGCCGGCGCUUCGGUAGCCGCCGCAGCCGUCGAACGCCUUGCAAGCUUCUUUCGCCUCGCCUUCGUGCUGCCGGAGCCGUCCGCCGCCUUGUUUUUCUUCGCGGAUGCUUUGCCCUUCUUCGGCCGCGCCGCAUUGGGGACCUUCGACGGUGCGGCGGCGGCACGGGACGGCGCCGGCGCGACGCUACCCGGCGCCGUGGUCAUCCGCGGCGGCAAGAAGAGGCUGCGCGCGAGGCCGACGCUCGGCAGAGCUCCGGCGGUGGCGACGCCGACGCUUCCCUGUUGGGGAACGUAGUAAUUUCAAAAAAAUUCCUACGCACACGCAAGAUCAUGGUGAUGGCAUAGCAACGAGAGAGGAGAGUAUUGUCCAUGUACCCUCGUAGACCGUAAGCGGAAGCGUUAUGACAACGCGGUUGAUGUAGUCGUACGUCUUCAUGAUCCGACCGAUCCAAGUACCGAACGUACGGCACCUCCGAGUUCAGCACACGUUCAGCUCGAUGACGAUUUCCGGCCUCCGAUCCAGCAAAGCGUCGGGGAUGAGUUCCGUCAGCACGAUGGCAUGGUGACGAUGAUGAUGUUCUACCGGCACAGGGCUUCGCCUAAACUCCGCGACGAUAUGACCGAGGUGGAAUAUGGUGGAGGGGGGCACCGCACACGGCUAAGAAACGAUCCAUAGAUCAACUUGUGUGUCGGGGUGCCCCCCUGCCCCCGUAUAUAAAGGAGCAAGGGGGAGGGGGGCGGCCGGCCAAGGGAGGGCGCGCCAGGGAGGAGUCCUACUCCCACCGGGAGUAGGACUCCCUCCUUUCCUAGUCCAACUAGGAGAGGGGAAGGAAGGGAAGGAGAAGGAGAAGGAAGGAGAGGGAGGAAAAGGAGGAAAGGGGGGCCGGCCCCCUAGUCCAAUUCGGUUUGGGCUGGGGGGGAGGCAAGCCCUACCUCCUCUCUUCCACCACUUGGCCCAUGAGGCCCAUUGCUUCUUCCUCGUAUUCCCGUAACUCCCCGGUACCCCCGAAAAUACCCGAAUCACUCGGAACCUUUCCGAACUCCGAAUAUAGUCGUCCAAUAUAUCGAUCUUUACGUCUCGACCAUUUCGAGACUCCUCGUCAUGUCCCCGAUCUCAUCCGGGACUCUGAACUCCUUCGGUACAUCAAAACUCAUAAACUCAUAAUAUAACUGUCAUCGAAACCUUAAGCAUGCGGACCCUACGGGUUCGAGAACUAUGUAGACAUGACCUAGAACUAUUCUUGGUCAAUAACCAAUGGCGGAACUUGGAUGCUCAUAUCGGCUCCUACAUAUUCUACGAAGAUCUUUAUCGGUCAAAUCGCAUAACAACAUACGUUGUUCCCUUUGUCAUCGGUAUGUUACUUGCCCAAGAUUCGAUCGUCGGUAUCCAAUACCUAGUUCAAUCUCGUUAUUGGCAAGUCUCUUUACUCGUUACAUAAUGCAUCAUCCCGCAACUAACUCAUUAGUCGCAUUGCUUGCAAGGCUUAUAGUGAUGUGCAUUACCGAGAGGGCCCAGAGAUACCUCUCCUACAAUUGGAGUGACAAAACCUAAUCUCGAAAUACGCCAACCCAACAUGUACCUUUGGAGACACCUGUAGUACUCCUUUAUAAUCACUCAGUUACGUUGUGACGUUUGGUAGCAUCCAAAGUGUUCCUCCGGCAAACGGGAGUUGCAUAAUCUCAUAGUUACAGGAACAUGUAUAAGUCAUGAAGAAAGCAAUAGCAACAUACUAAACGAUCAAGUGCUAAGCUAACGGAAUGGGUCAAGUCAAUCACAUCAUUCUUCUAAUGACGUGAUCCCAUUAAUCAAAUGACAACACAUGUCUAUGGUUAGGAAACAUAACCAUCUUUGAUUAAUGAGCUAGUCAAGUAGAGGCAUACUAGUGACACUAUGUUUGUCUAUGUAUUCACACAUGUAUUAUGUUUCCGUUUAAUACAAUUCUAGCAUGAAUAAUAAACAUUUAUCAUGAAAUAAGGAAAUAAACAAUAACUUUAUUAUUGCCUCUAGGGCAUAUUUCCUUCAGUCUCCCACUUGCACUAGAGUCAAUAAUCUAGUUCACAUCGCCAUGUGAUUUAACAUCAAUAUUCAUAUCUAUAUAUGAUUAGCACCCAUAGUUCACAUCGUCAUGUGACCAACACCCAAAGGGUUUACUAGAGUCAAUAAUCUAGUUCACAUCGCUUAUGUGAUUAACAGCCAAAGAGUACUAAGGUGUGAUCAUGUUUUGCUCGUGAGAGAAGCUUAGUCAACGGGUCUGUCACAUUCAGAGCCAUAUGUAUUUUGCAAAUAUUCUAUGUCUACAAUGCUCUGCACGGAGCUACUCUAGCUAAUUGCUCCCACUUUUAAUAUGUAUCCAGAUUGAGACUUAGAGUCAUCUGGAUCGGUGUAAAAGCUUGCACCGAUGUAACUCUUUACUACGGCCUCUUUUAUCACCUCCAUAAUCGAGAAAUAUUUCCUUAGUCCUCACUAAGGAUAUUCUUGACCAAUGUCCAGUGAUCUACUCCUAGAUCACUAUUGUACUCCCUUGCCAAAUUCAGAGCAAGGUAUACAAUAGGUCUGGUACAUAGCAUAACAUACUUUAUAGAACCUAUGCUGAGGCAUAGGGAAUGACUUUCAUUCUCUUUCUAUUUUCUGCUGUGGUCGGGAUUUGAGUCUUACUCAAUUUCAUACCUUUGCAACACACGCAAGAACUCUCUCUUUGACUGUUCCAUUUUGAACUACUUCAAAAUCUUGUCAAGGUAUGUACUCAUUGAAAAUCUUAUCAAGCGUCUUGAUCUAUCUCAAUAGAUCUUGAUGCUCAAUACGUAAGUAGCUUUGCCGAGGUCUUUCUUUGAAAAAUCUCCUUUCAAACACUCCUUUUAUGCUUUGCAGAAUAAUUCUACAUUAUUUCUGAUCAACAAUAUGUCAUUCACAUAUACUUAUCAGAAAUGUUAUAGUGCUCCCACUCACUUUCUUGUAAAUACAGGCUUCACCGUAAGUCUGUACAAAACUAUAUGCUUUGAUCAACUUAGCAAAGCAUAUAUUCCAACUCUGAGAUGCUUGCACCAGUCCAUUGAUGGAUCGCUGGAGCUUGCACAUUUUGUUAGCACCUUUCAGAUCGACAAAAACUUCUGGUUGUAUCAUAUACAACUCUCGUUUAAGAAAACCAUUAAGGAAUGCAGUUUUGACAUCCAUUUGCCAGAUUUCAUAAAAUGUGGCAAUUGCUAACAUGAUUCAGUCAGACUUAAGCAUCGAUACGAGUGAAAAAAUCUCAUCGUAUUCAACACCUUGAACUUGUUGAAAACCUUUCGCAACAAGUCGAGCUUAGUAGAUAGUAACACUACUAUCAGUGUCCGUCUUCCUCUUGAAGAUCCAUCUAUUUAACAUGGCUUGCUAAUCAUCGAGCAAGUCAAUCAAAGUCCAUACUUUGUUCUCAUACAUGGAUCAUAUCUCAGAUUUUAUGGCCUCAAGCCAUUUCGUGGAAUCUGGGCUCAUCAUCGCUUCCUCAUAGUUCGCAGGUUCAUCAUGGUCUAGUAACAUGACUUCCAGAACAUGAUUACUGCACCACUCUGGUGCGGCUCUUACUCUGGAAGACCUACGAGGUUUGGUAGUAACUUGAUCUGAAGUUUCAUGAUCAUCAUCAUUAACUUCCUCACUAAUUGGUGUAGGAAUCACUGGAACUAAUUUCUGUGAUAAACUACUUUCCAACAAGGGAGUAGAUAUAGUUACCUCAUCAAGUUCUACUUUCCUCCCACUCACUUCUUUCGAGAGAAACUCCUUCUCUAGAAAGGAUCCAUUCUUAGCAACAAAUAUUUUGCCUUUGGAUCUAUGAUAGAAGGAGUACCCAACAGUUUCCUUUGGGUAUUCUAUGAAGACGCACUUCUCCGAUUUGGGUUCGAGCUUAUCAGGUUGAAAACCUUUUUCAUAUAAGCAUCGCAACUCCAAACUUUAAGAAACGACAGCUUAGGUUUACUGCUAAACCAUAGUUCAUAUGGUGUUGUCUCAACGGAUUUAGAUGGUGCCCUUUUAACGUGAAUGCAACUAUCUCUAAUGCAUAACCCCAAAACAAUAGUGGUAAAUCAGUAAGAGACAUCAUAGAUCGCACCAUAUCCAAUAAAGUGCAGUUACGACGUUCGGACACACCAUAACGUUGUGGUGUUCCAGGUGGCGUGAGCUGUGAAACUAUUCCACAUUGUUUUAAUUGAAGACCAAACUCGUAAAUCAAAUAUUUGUCUCCGCGAUCAGAUCGCAGAAACUUUAUUUUCUUGUUACGAUGAUUUUUCCACUUCACUCUGAAAUUCUUUGAACCUUUCAACUAUUUCAGACUUAUGUUUCAUCAAGUAGAUAUACCCAUAUCAGCUCAAAUCAUCUUGUGAAGGUCAGAAAAUAACGAUACUUGCCACGAGCAUCAACACUCAUUGGAUCGCAUACAUCGGUAUGUAUUAUUUCCAAUAAGUCAGUAGCUUGUUCCAUUGUUCCGGAGAACGGAGUUUUAGUCAUCUUGCCCAAAAGGCACGGUCCGCAAGCAUCAAAUGAUUCAUAACCAAGUGAUUCCGAAAAUCCAUCUUUAUGGAGUUUCUUCAUGCGUUUUACACCGAUAUGACCCAAACGGCAGUGCCACAAAUAAGUUGCACUAUCAUUAUUAACUUUGCAUCUUUUGGCAUCAAUAUUAUGAAUAUGUGUAUCACUACGAUCGAGAUCCAACAAACUAUUUUCAUUGGGUGUAUGACCAUCGAAGGCUUUAUUCAUGUAAACAGAAUAACAAUUAUUCUUUGACUUUAAAUGAAUAAUCGUAUUGCAAUAAACAUGAUCAAAUCAUAUUCAUGCUCAACGCAAACGCCAAAUAACAUUUAUUUAGGUUCAACACUAAUCCCGAAAGUAUAGGGAGUGUGCGAUGAUGAUCAUAUCAAUCUUCGAACCACUUCCAACACUCAUCGUCACUUCACCCUCAACUAGUCUCUGUUUAUUCUGUAACUCCUGUUUCGAGUCACUAAUUUUUAGCAACCGAACAAGUAUCAUACUCAGGGGCUACUAUAAACACUAGUAAGGUACACAUCAAUAACAUGUAUAUCAAAUAUACCCUUGUUCACUUUGCCAUCCUUCUUAUCCACCAAAUAUUCAGGGCAUUUCCGCUUCUAGUGACCAUUUCCUUUGCAGUAUAAUCACUCAGUUUCAGGCUUUGGUCCAGCUUUGGGCUUCUUCGCGGGACUGACAACUUGCUUGUCAUUCUACUUGAAGUUCCCUUUCUUUCCCUUUGCCCUUUUCUUGAAACUAGUGAUCUUGUCAACCAUCAACACUUGAUGCUCUUUCUUGAUUUCUACCUUCGUCGAUUUCAACAUCACGAAGAGCUCGGAAAUCGUUUUCGUCAUCCCUUGCAUACUGUAGUUCAUCACAAAGUUCUACUAACUUGGUGAUGGUGACUAGAGAAUUAUGUCAAUCACUAUCUUAUCUGGAAGAUUAACUCCCACUUGAUUCAAGCGAUUGAAGUACUCAGACAAUCUGAGCACAUGCUCACUAGUUGAGCGAUUCUCCUCCAUCUUUUUGCAAUAGAACUUGUUGGAGACUUCAUAUCUCUCAACUCGGGUAUUUGCUUGAAAUAUUAACUUCAAUUCCUGGAACAUCUCAUAUGGUCCAUGACGUUCAAAACGUCUUUGAAGUCCCGAUUCUAAGCCGUUAAGCAUGGUGCACUAAACUAUCAAGUAGUCAUCAUAUUGAGCUAGCCAAACGUUCAUAACGUCUGCAUCUGCUCCUGCAAUAGGUCUGUCACCUAGCGGUGCAUCAAGGACAUCAUUCUUCUGUGCAGCAAUGAGGAUAAACCUCAGAUCACGGAUCCAAUCCGCAUCAUUGCUACUAACAUUUUUCAACACAAUUUUCUCUAGGAAUAUAUCAAAAUAAACAUAUGAAAGCAACAACGCAAGCUAUUGAUCUACAACAUAAUUUGCAAAAUACUACCAGGACUAAGUUCAUGAUAAAUUUAAGUUCAAUUAAUCAUAUUACUUAAGAACUCCCACUUAGAAAGACAUCCCUCUAAUCCUCUAAGUGAUCACGUGAUCCAAAUCAACUAAACCAUAACCGAUCAUCACGUGAAAUGGAGUAGCUUUCAAUGGUGAACAUCAUUAUGUUGAUCAUAUCUACUAUAUGAUUCACGCUCGACCUUUCGGUCUCCGUGUUCCGAGGCCAUAUCUGCAUAUGCUAGGCUCGUCAAGUUAAACAUGAGUAUUCCGCGUGUGCAAAACUGGCUUGCACCCGUUGUAGAUGGACGUAGAGCUUAUCACACCCGAUCAUCACGUGGUGUCUGGGCACGACGAACUUUGGCAACGGUGCAUACUCAGGGAGAACACUUCUUGAUAAUUAGUGAGAGAUCAUCUUAUAAUGCUACCGUCAAACAAAACAGAAUAAGAUGUAUAACAGAUAAACAUCAUAUGCAAUCAAAAUAUGUGACAUGAUAUGGCCAUGAUCAUCUUGCGCCUUUGAUCUCCAUCUCCAAAGUACUGUCAUGAUCUCUAUCGUCACCGGCACGACACCAUGAUCUUCAUCAUCUUGAUCUAUAUCAAUGUGUCGUCACAUGGUCGUCUCGCCAACUAUUGCUCUUGCAACUAUUGCUAUCGCAUAGCGAUAAAGUAAAGCAAUUAUUUGGCACUUGCAUCUUAUGCAACAAAGAGACAACCAUAGAGCUUCUGCCAGUUGCCGAUAACUUCAACAAAACAUGAUCAUCUCAUACAACAACUUAUAUCUCAUCACAUCUUGACCAUAUCACAUCACAACAUGCCCUGCAAAAACAAGUUAGACGUCCUCUACUUUGUUGUUGCAAGUUUUACGUGGCUGCUAUGGGAUGAGCAAGAACCAUUCUUACCUACGCAUCAAAACCACAACGAUAGUUCGUCAAGUUGGUGCUGUUUUAACCUUCUCAAGGACCGGGCGUAGCCACACUCGGUUCAACUAAAGUUGGAGAAACUGACACCCACUAGUCACCUGUGUGCAAAAGCACGGCGGUAAAACCAGUCUCGCGUAAGCGUACGCGUAAUGUCGGUCCGGGCCGCUUCAUCCAACAAUACCGCCGAACCAAAGUAUGACAUGCUGGUAAGCAGUAUGACUUGUAUCGCCCACAACUCACUUGUGUUCUACUCGUGCAUAUAACAUCAACGCAUAAAAGCUAGGCUCGGAUGCCACUGUUGGGGAACGUAGUAAUUUCAAAAAAAUUCCUACGCACACGCAAGAUCAUGGUGAUGGCAUAGCAACGAGAGAGGAGAGUAUUGUCCACGUACCCUCGUAGACCGUAAGCGGAAGCGUUAUGACAACGCGGUUGAUGUAGUCGUACAUCUUCACGAUCCGACUGAUCCAAGUACCAAACGUACGGCACCUCCGAGUUCAGCACACGUUCAGCUCGAUGACGAUUUCCGGGCUCCGAUCUAGCAAAGCGUCGGGGAUGAGUUCCGUCAGCACGACGCCGUGGUGACAAUGAUGAUGUUCUACCGGCGCAGGGCUUCGCCUAAACUCCGCGACGAUAUGACCGAGGUGGAAUAUGGUGGAGGGGGAACCGCACACGGCUAAGGAACGAUCCGUAGAUCAACUUGUGUGUCAUGGGGUGCCCCCCUGCCCCCGUAUAUAAAGGAGCAAGGGGGAGGGGGCGGCCGGCCAAGGGACGGCGCGCCAGGGAGGAGUCCUACUCCCACCGGGAGUAGGACUCCCUCCUUUCCUAGUCCAACUAGGAGAGGGGAAGGAAGGGAAGGAGAAGGAGAAGGAAGGAGAGGGAGGAAAAGGAGGAAAGGGGGGCCGGUCCCCUAGUCCAAUUCGGUUUGGGCUAGGGGGGCGCGCCCUACCUCCUCUCUUCCACCACUUGGCCCAUGAGGCCCAUUGCUUCUUCCUCGUAUUCCCGUAACUCCCCGGUACCCCCGAAAAUACCCGAAUCACUCGGAACCUUCCCGAACACCGAAUAUAGUCGUCCAAUAUAUCGAUCUUUACGUCUCGACCAUUUCGAGACUCUUCGUCAUGUCCCCGAUCUCAUCCGGGACUCCGAUCUCCUUCGGUACAUCAAAACUCAUAAACUCAUAAUAUAACUGUCAUCGAAACCUUAAGCGUGCGGACCGUACGGGUUCGAGAACUAUGUAGACAUGACCUAGAACUAUUCUUGGUCAAUACCAAUAGCAGAACCUGGAUGCUCAUAUUGGCUCCUACAUAUUCUACGAAGAUCUUUGUCGGUCAAACCGCAUAACAACAUACGUUGUUCCCUUUGUCAUCGGUAUGUUACUUGCCCGAGAUUCGAUCGUCGGUAUCCAAUACCUAGUUCAAUCUCGUUACCGACAAGUCUCUUUACUCGUUACAUAAUGCAUCAUCCCGCAACUAACUCAUUAGUCACAUUGCUUGCAAGGCUUAUAGUGAUGUGCAUUAUCGAGAGGGCCCAGAGAUACCUCUCCGACAAUCGGAAUGACAAAACCUAAUCUCGAAAUACGCCAACCCAACAUGUACCUUUGGAGACACCUGUAGUACUCCUUUAUAAUCACUCAGUUACGUUGUGACGUUUGGUAGCACCCAAAGUGUUCCUCCGGUAAACGGGAGUUACAUAAUCUCAUAGUUACAGGAACAUGUAUAAGUCAUGAAGAAAGCAAUAGCAACAUACUAAACAAUCAAGUGCUAAGCUAACGGAAUGGGUCAAGUCAAUCACAUCAUUCUUCUAAUGACGUGAUCCCAUUAAUCAAAUGACAACACAUGUCUGUGGUUAGGAAACAUAACCAUCUUUGAUUAAUGAGCUAGUCAAGUAGAGGCAUACUAGUGACACUAUGUUUGUCUAUGUAUUCACACAUGUAUUAUGUUUCCGGUUAAUACAAUUCUAGCAUGAAUAAUAAACAUUUAUCAUGAAAUAAGGAAAUAAAUAAUAACCUUAUUAUGGCCUCUAGGGCAUAUUUCCUUCAUUCCCGUGCUAGGGUUUCCGGUGGCGGCNNNNNNNNNNNNNNNNNNNNNNNNNNNNNNNNNNNNNNNNNNNNNNNNNNNNNNNNNNNNNNNNNNNNNNNNNNNNNNNNNNNNNNNNNNNNNNNNNNNNNNNNNNNNNNNNNNNNNNNNNNNNNNNNNNNNNNNNNNNNNNNNNNNNNNNNNNNNNNNNNNNNNNNNNNNNNNNNNNNNNNNNNNNNNNNNNNNNNNNNNNNNNNNNNNNNNNNNNNNNNNNNNNCGGGGUGAGCGGGGUGCCGGUGUGCGCGUCCAUGGGUGGGUGGCAGGGCGCCGGCGCCGGCGCGCGCGGGGCGUAGGAGGAGGAGAGGAGAGAGUGCGGCGCGAGCGCUCGAGUGUGCCGCGCGCUGUAGCGGGCGCCCGAAAUACACCGCGCGGGACAGUGUUUUCGACCGCGCGCCCAACUCAUUAUAGCGCGUGUGUCGUUUUUGCGCGCCCGCUGAAGCGACCCGCCGCGUUGCGCGCGCGCUAAAACAGACUAAUUUGCGGCGCGGCGCUAGUUUAGCGCGACUGUUGGAGAUGCUCUAAGAUCCGGUUGGCCUUUCACAUCGCUUCUUGCGAAUUCCUAAUCUCUCAGGGCUAUCUAUUUUCACAAGCUUUGAUAUUGGCAGGUUUUGGCGUGUGCAAUUCGCCGACAAAUAGGAGGUCACAGUUCUUUGGAUAGCUUCCCGCGUGGCCGAUUUUCUUUUUCAAAAAAAAGGAACAAAAAAUUGCUUCGAAAGGGCCGGAGGGCGAAAAUUUAUGAGCCCAGCCCAACCAUUCCAUAGAGUAGGGAUAACAGUGUAUUUAGCCCAAAAGGCCUCAAAUCGUGCAAGAACUUUAUCCAAUAAAAAGAUCCUGCGAAAAUCACCACUGCUCGUCUGUGCUGCCGGUAGGCGCCACGCCACCGUCGCCAUGGCCGCCCCCGUCUCCACUUCCCUCUUGCCUCUCGCGAGGAGCGCACGUGAGUCUCUUAGUUUCAGUUAAAUCUCUCCUGAACCUUAUCCUGCGGCAACCGAUAAACCGAUUUCUCUCUUUUUUACCCCCUUUUAUCUGCCUGUUGGUUUCUGAAUCUCCAGCUUCUUUCACUGGUCCGCACUACAAGAAUAAGAGAAAGAUUCCGAUGGUGCGGGUCUUCUGUGCUGCCGACGACGACGGUUAGUCUAGUGAUGACAGAUUGAGAAAUCUGAAUGCAUUUCUUUUUCCUUUAUUUUCCCUAGAACCAAUACUUAUAUAUUAGUUUAUAUUUGUUUCCCAAGUAUUGGACUGUUCAACACAGUUAUUUCAUCUUUAUGUGGGUGAGUUUCUUUUGUCUGUUUUUUGUGCAAGAGAACUCUCGGAAGCUCAUGAAUCAGUGGUUUCAACUCGCAUGCUGUAAAAACUCAUUAGACGUACGCCACUAUGCAAUACUUUAUGCGCUCUUGUAAACAUGAAUUUAGGACAAGGAGCAGGAACUGGCUUAAGUAAGACAUUACGAGUUUACGGCAUCAUGCAUUGAGCGUUGUUUUGAUCGAACAUGGAGCUGUGUUUUCCCUGUGCUGAUUUACAGAAGUAACAAACUGACCCCCUUUUCUAAAAUCUGUGCAUGUUAUGAUUCCGAGAAGAGGAAGUCAACGAUUUGGGAGUCAACGUGGCACUAUCGAUGCUAAAAUUCUACAAAAGUAACUUCUUAUUUGCAGUUUGUUACCGCUUCAUUUCUGAUUGUCUUUUGGACAUUUGUGUUGUCAUAGACCAUGCUUUUAAGACCGACUUUUAUCUAUACAUGGCCUGCUCACUGGCUCAUGCUUUAUGUGAACAGGAGAGAUAUCACCCUUGCUGCCUUCUAGCUGCCGUUAUGUGCCAACAUGCAGCGAGUACUCUAUGCAGGCGUACAAAAGAUAUGGUGUUGCGAAGGGUACAAUCUUGACAGCAUGGCGUCUGUGCCGUUGUAAUCCUCUUGGUACGUGCUCUUUCUUUUUGCUACACAUUUCCAGUUCUGCAUCAUAUCAUGUUUAUGGAACAUGAGCGCUUUGUUUUCUGAUACAAGCGUAGGUGGACAGGGAUAUGAUCCUCCCAGGUGGUUUGGGGAGGGAGAGUUACCUGAGGAAUGAUGGCUGGUAAUUACUAGAAACACUGCACAUGUGCGUGCUAGACUGUGCUCUGCACAUAGUUAAAUAAGCAAUAUAAGCAGUGCCUCAGUUGUAUUACAUCUUUCCAUUUUUCUCUUUUUCAGCUCGCUUGAUUUUUAUUGUUUAUUACGAUGGAACUAGAUGAUUGUACUAGAGACAUUUAUUUGUUGCUUAUCAAGAAUUUAACCUAGGUUGUUUAAAUGAUGAUUCGCUUGCACGAGCUUCCACUAUCAUAGGCCACCAUUUUCUAGCUUCGUUCUUCUGCAGACUAGUUUCAAAGACCCGACUGGCUUUUGCUGUUUUCUUAACUGUGCACAACCUGUCAAUAUAACAUAGUCGAUGCAUGGAGAUCCAAAAUUUCCUCGUUUGGAGUCGGAUGAAGAAUGAACAUUGACAUAUUCUUGAACAUGAAGACAUCUAAAAAAAAUCUGAACUACCACGCGAAAAAUUGAAUGUACAAUGUAGUAAAUUUAUAAUGGGGGAGUGCAAGAAGGAUCCUUUUCAUGCACUGUAAGUAUCUAUGAAGUGCAAUUUAAAUCUCUCUUAGCGUGGGGGGCAUGUGCAGCUCACUUCUUACUGUCUUCCAUUUCAGCAUUUGCCUGGUCCACGUAUCUGAUCUCCUGGCUACCAUAUCCUUGAAUACGGUGUUUUGUUGUUUUUUCCUGUUGCAACUUAGUGUAUCAUAUUUGUUAAUGCCCCUUGAAAUAUUUUGAUGGUAUACUAUAUUGAUUUGGACACUUGUGUACCCAUUCAGCCUAAUGUCUGUUUCAUUGGCCAAACUUGUUUCUCUUGGUAUUUUUCAGCAUUGUUGGCACUGAUAUUUGAUUUCCCAUGUUGAUCUUUUCUUAUCUCCCUCUUUUUUAUUUCAGAUGUUGGAAUGCCUCACAAGAUAUCAUCUCAUCGCAACUUCAUAAAGGAGUGUCAGGACCCAAAUGUCUCUGUCUGAAGAUCCGAUCGCUGCAUACGGGAUUCAGUUAAUUCAAACCCGUUCUAACAGGCGGGAAACGCCAGAAGCCACACAUCUUCGAUCGCACGGCCGAGACGACGUCGUACCGUUUCGCCAGUUAUGAUGACCCGUCGAGCGUCCGAUCUCCAUCGUGUGACGGGGAUUGCUCUGGAGGUCGCUGUUCCCUUUCCGGCAAGGACCGCAGCGCCCCUCUCUUUCUUUUUGCUUUUGCUCUUCUUUUCCUUCCCUUUGUAAGGCUAUAAAGCCAGGAGUUGGGAUCGAGGGUAGGUAUCUAUCUUGUUGUUAGGGUUUCCCCCUUGCCGCCGCCAGUGUUCCUGGUUGGCAAGAACCUCUGUAACGAGCUAGACUCGCAUAAUCAUUCCUCUGAAAUCAAGCUAAAUUCGACUGGUUCUGUUCUUGUCUUUCUGAAUUUCGUUCUUCAGACCACCCGGGUCUGACAAGUGGUAAUCAGAGCAAGGUUCAUCUCCUUGGCGACGCGAGAUCUGGUGCCGAAGUGGAGUUGGAGGCGCCGUAAAAUCCUUCACUUCUCACCGGACAAACUUGGCGGCGGUGUAGCUGACGGUGGCGUUGGCGGCGGCGAAUAGCUCGGUACAGGUUUGGUGCUGGGGCGUGGUUGCGGGAACACACUGUUUCAGCAGUAAAAUCCCACCUCCCACCCAGAUCCGGUGUACUUCCGGCGGCGCGGCGACGGCGGCGGUGCAGGCGGCGGCAGGAUCUACGGUCAAGGUCGGGUUGCAGCAAGUGUUGUGGUAAAAUUCCUCCCUUCGCCUGACGAUCUCUUGCAGUGAGGUUACUUGGCUCCCUGCCAAUUGUAAAAACCCUCUCUGCAUCACUCCAUCAAGAUGACUGGCCCGACAGAUUCGUCCUCAACCAGCAAUCUGGAGAUGCAGUCCUUACAACUUGAUGUCCAAACACUGCAGAGAAAUCGAGAGCAGGACAGACAGGAAUUUGAGGAUUUCAGGGACCAUGUGCAAGACAAUUUUCAAUCCAUGCAGAAGACUCUGGGAGAAUUACAGGGCACACUUAACAAGUUUAUCUUUGGUUUUCCCAAGCCACGAGAAACCCCACCCAUUCCCCAAGAUAUCCCUCAAGGCAGUGGCCAAAAUCAUACACCGCAAGGCCCAGUGCCUCGGCCAGUCGAUGGCCUCCAAACCCCUCCUAUUGCAGGCUCUGUAACCUUGGUGGAUAAGCACACUGGAAAAGAACUUAACUUGGAUGGCAGCACCAAAAUUCCUUACAGGCACCCCCACUUUGCUGACAACAAACUUCCUCCACUAGAUGCCAGAGCAACUACUGCAAUUCCUCAAACAGGAAACAUGCAACAAAUCAUUCACUUAGAACAAGAGCAAGGUGAGGAGCAGGCUCAGUAACUAACUGGCAGAGGGGGCAAUGCACAGAGAGACCAAGUCCAAGACAACAGAAGACCUCUGACUCUGGUGAAACCUGCUAAAUAUAACAUACCAGAGUUUGAUGGCAGUGGAACUGACUCUUGGAUACAAACCAUUGAAAUGUACUUUGAGGCUGCUAGGACACCAUUGGAGCAGAAAACUGAAAUUGCUGUCACUUACCUCAAAGGGCCAGCAAUAGAGUGGUGGAGAGGAACUGGAAUUAUUGCCAAUACCUUACCCUGGUACAGGUUCUGUAGACUGAUUGGAGACAGGUUUUCAGAAACUUCAGUAUGUGACAAUGUCAGAACUUUUCAUGCCCUCAACCAAACUGGGUCUGUUAAUGACUAUGUUCUCAAGUUUGAACAAUCCAUGAACUUACUCAGGAGGGACAACCCUGCACUACCUGCUGAUUAUUACAAAGCUAGUUUCAUCGCUGGCCUGAGUGACUCUAUCCAACAUUAUGUUCAAUGUCAUGAACCAGCAGACCUACAAAAAGCCAUAUGGUUGGCCAGAAGAAUGGAACAAGCUCAGCCCAGCAAGAAAACACCAGUGGCUUAUAUUAAUCAGCCAGUUAGGAGGCAGGUUCAGUUUGACCCAGGAAAGCCCCCUCCUAACAACACACCUACUGUCAUCCAACAGGCCAGAAUGAAAGGGAUCUGCUACAAGUGCAAAGAACCAUGGUUUCCUGGCCACAAGAAAGUUUGCAAAUUGGUAAAUCAAAUGCAGAUACAAGCCUUGCAAGAGACCUGCCCUGAGGAUGCAGAAUUGGUCUACUACACGGCUGAUGAUACUGAAGCUCCACCUCUCACUGACUUGGAUGACACCCCCUUGCAAAUCUCUAUGCAUGCCCUCAUGGGAGUUACUUCCUCCAAGCUGAGUUUCACUGUGACAGUCAUGUUGGGAGACAAACCUGCAACUGCCCUCAUUGAUAGCGGCAGCACUGCAACAUUUGUAACUCCUGCACUAGCAAAGUUGGCUCUGUGUGCCCUCACACCAACUAAGAAAAAGAAAGUGUUAGUGGCCAAUGGAGCAACUUUAUGGACUGAAUUCAUUGCUCUCCAAUGCCCUUUUGUGGUGCAAGGAACUGAAUUUUCCCAUGAUUUCAGAGUCCUACAGUUACAAGGUUAUGAUGUGAUACUGGGAGCUGAUUGGAUGAAAAUUGUUAGUCCUGUACAGCUAGAUUUUGAGGAAAUGGAAGUACAAGUCACAUUGAAAUCGGGAGAAAAGAAAAUCUUCAAGGAUGAAAGCCUACCCAGUGAGCCAGUUCAAGAAAUGGACAGUAUGGAGCACUUAUCUGAUGACAAUAUCUGUGGGGCUGUGUUGCUGCUAAACAGAAUUGCUCUGACAGAACAUGAGGACACUGUUGUUCCCCCUCCUGUCCAAGAACUUCUGGGUCAGUACAAAGAUAUUUUUGGAACUCCUACUGAUUUACCUCCUAAGAGAACUGUUGAUCAUGCUAUUCCCUUUGAACCUGGUGCAAAAGUUAUAAACCAAAGGCCAUACAGAUUGCCUUAUCACCAAAAGGAAGCUAUGGAACAGAUCAUUCAGGAAAUGAUUAAAAACAAAGUGAUCAGAGAUAGUUCAAGUCCUUACUCCUCUCCUGCAAUUUUGGUGAAAAAGAAAGACCUAUCCUGGAGACUUUGCAAUGAUUUCAGAAAGGUCAAUACUCAGACUAUCAAAAACAAGUACCCCAUCCCUGUUAUUGAGGACUUGUUGGAUGAACUGCAUGGAGCCACUGUUUUCACUAAACUUGAUCUCAGAAGUGGUUACCACCAGAUAAGAAUGAAGGAAGAGGAUAUUGAGAAAACUGCUUUUAGCACCCACUGUGGGAACUAUGAAUACUUGGUCAUGCCUUUUGGUUUAACCAAUGCUCCUGCAACUUUCCAAAUGCUCAUGAAUACUAUCCUAGCCAAGUAUCUCAGAAAAUUUGUACUAGUAUUAUUUGAUGAUAUUUUGGUAUUCAGUAAAAAUAUGAAGGAGCACAUACUUCACUUGAAACAAGUAUUUGAAACACUGAAGGAACACCAGCUGUACAUCAAAGCAAGCAAAUGUGUCUUUGCUCAGCCUCAGGUGGAGUACUUGGGACAUGUUAUUAGGGCUGAUGGAGUUGCAACUGACCCAAUCAAAAUUCAGGCAGUGCAACAAUGGCCAAAACCUGAAAAUGUCACACAGCUAAGGAGUUUUUUAGGGUUGACAGGUUACUAUAGAAGAUUUGUGGAAAAUUAUGGACUCAUUUGCAGGCCUCUGUUUAACUCCCUAAAAAAAGGCAGUUUCACUUGGGGGCAAGAGCAAGUUCAAGCUUUCAAUACCCUGAAGAACAAAAUGACACAAGCCCCAGUGUUGGCCCUACCAGACUUCUCAAAGCCUUUCAUCUUGGAAACAGAUGCUUGUGCCUAUGGACUAGGUGCAGUUCUAAUGCAAGAGGGGAGACCUAUUUCCUUUUUCAGUAAAGCAAUUGGUCCUAGAGCAGCUGCAUAUUCCACUUAUGACAAGGAAGCUUUAGCAAUUAUUGAAGCUCUCAAGCACUGGAAACAUUAUUUUGUUGCAUCCUCUCUCAUCAUCAGAACUGAUCAACAGAGUUUAAAAUAUAUACAAGAACAAAAACUCACUGAGGGAAUUCAGCACAAGCUCCUGGUCAAACUUCUUGGCUACAAUUACACUGUGGAGUACAAGCAGGGAAAGAAAAAUAAAGUCGCUGAUGCCCUUUCCAGGGUGCACCACAAAAUUCAUGCACUAAUUGCUUCUUCUGUCAAACCUGCCUGGGUAACUGAAGUUGUUGGCAGCUACAAAAAUGACCAAAGAUGCAAGGAUCUACUAGCUCAACUGAUUGUAAAUAUUGAUUCUGUGACCAACUACACUGUGCAACAGGGUGUGUUCAGAUACAAAAACAGAAUUGUCAUUGGAGCUGGUAACACCAUCAGAACUAAAUUGCUAGCUGCUUUACAUAGCUCUGAACUGGGUGGCCAUUCAGGACACAGAGCUACAUACCAAAGAGUUAAGCUUCUCUUCCACUGGCCUGGCAUGAAGCAAUUUGUUGUGGACUAUAUUAAACAAUGCCCUACCUGUCAAAUAAAAAAAGCAGAACACUGCAAGUACCCUGGGCUACUCCAACCUCUGCCAGUCCCAGACUUUGCCUGGUGCCACAUAAGCAUGGAUUUUGCGGAAGGUCUCCCUACUUCUCACAACAAGAACAUCAUCUUGGUUGUGGUCGACAGAUUCACUAAAUACAGCCACUUUAUCCCAAUGAAACACCCCAUUACAGCUAAUAUUGUAGCUAAGGCUUUCACUGACAACAUCUUCAAACUCCAUGGACUACCAGCUGUGAUUGUCACUGACAGAGACAAAAUCUUCACCAGCAAGCUUUGGCAGGACUUGUUCAAGAAGUUGGGAAUCAAGUUACACAUGAGCACUUCUUAUCACCCUCAGUCUGAUGGUCAGACAGAAAGAGUCAAUCAGUGUCUUGAAAAUUAUCUCAGAUGCAUGGCCUUCAUCCAACCACCAAAGUGGCUCAACUGGUUAUCCCUAGUAGAAUGGUGGUACAAUACUAGCUACCACACAGCCCUCAAGCUCACCCCCUUCCAGGCCCUGUAUGGCAGACCUCCUCAUAUGCUAGUUGAAUUUGCUCUUUAUCCUGUGGAAGAAUUGGAACAGUUCCCUGAUGUACUCACUGCUGAACAAACCGCAGCACAUAUUAAGGAAAAUCUCCUGAGGGCUCAAGCCAGAAUGAAACAUUACGCUGACAAGAAGAGAUUUGAGAGAACUUUGGAAAUGGGUGACAUGGUCUACCUGAAACUACAACCUUACAGGCAUACCACUCUCAGCAUCCAUAGAUGUCCCAAGCUGCAUUCCAAAUUUUAUGGCCCAUUCAGAGUUAUCCAGAAAGUUGGUCCAGUGGCUUACAAGCUCCUUCUUCGUGACGAUUGCAAACUUCAUGAUACUUUUCAUGUGAGCCAGCUCAAGAAGCAUAUUGGUCCAAUGGCAAUUCCAAACCCCAAGCUCCCCUUGCUCAAUCCGGAUGGAACAAUCUUACUGGAACCAGAACAACUGCUCGAACGCAAACUGGUACCGCGUGUGCAAGGCAACAUCAGUAUUCCUGUGGUUCGAUGGCUCAUAAAAUGGAGUAAUCUACCUCUGGAGGAGGCCACUUGGGAGGACGCCACAUUCAUACAAAAAGUGUUUCCUAAUUUCCAACCCUGAGGACAGGUCUGGUCUGGAUCGGGGGGAGUUGUCAGGACCCAAAUGUCUCUGUCUGAAGAUCCGAUCGCUGCAUACGGGAUUCAGUUAAUUCAAACCCGUUCUAACAGGCGGGAAACGCCAGAAGCCACACAUCUUCGAUCGCACGGCUGAGACGACGUCGUACCGUUUCGCCAGUUAUGAUGACCCGUCGAGCGUCCGAUCUCCAUCGUGUGGCGGGGAUUGCUCUGGAGGUCGUUGUUCCCUUUCCGGCAAGGACCGCAGCGCCCCUCUCUUUUCCUUCCCUUUGUAAGGCUAUAAAGCCAGGAGUUGGGAUCGAGGGUAGGUAUCUAUCUUGUUGUUAGGGUUUCCCCCUUGCCGCCGCCAGUGUUCCUGGUUGGCAAGAACCUCUGUAACGAGCUAGACUCGAAAUCAAGCUAAAUUUGACUGGUUCUGUUCUUGUCUUUCUGAAUUUCGUUCUUCAGACCACCCGGGUCUGACAAGGAGGUUGCUCGGGAGCACUACUGCUUGUGGUAGUUUCAAGGGAAAAUGUAUUUUGUUGACUAUGCUGUCAGUCAUGCCAUGACACAAAGAUGAUUGGUUCCUGAGAUUUCUAUGCAGAAGAUGGUCGUGGUAAACGGUAAGUGGAUUGUACAGUUUCCAUGGACCACUGAAUCACUUCUGUAGGAAAGCUAUUCUGCUGGUUUAAAGUUGAGGAUUUGUAUGCCCACAAAUCAUUUUGGUUUAGCUCAUGGAUUGUGCAGUUUAGUUUAUAAUUUCUAUGAACAAAGAUCUAGUUGUCAACCACAAAAAGCGAAGGAUUUUCCAGACUUUAUUCCUUAUGUGUACAUCGUUACCAUGGUAAACAUAGACCCUUGUUGCAGAUUGCACCGUAGAUCCUCAUAAAUCAUAACUGGUGCAAGCUGCUAAAAAAUGUUUGGGACCAUACUUCACAAAAGCAGAUCAAAUGUGCGAAGCAUCCAUUGGUACUUAAAAUCUAUGUCACUUGAGUGCUGCUAGCAUCGUCAGAUACCCAUGUGGAGAUGGCGUAGAGCACGCGUCCUUUCCAUCCCUGCAAAAGCCAUUGGUGAUCCUCGUUGAUCACGAAAUGCUUGUGGUACUGCUUCUUCACCAUGUCCUUCAAAAACUGAACAAGGUCUGGGUCCAGUGCCAACUGUCUGAGCCCUGCUCGCUGGUUCCGCGCCUGCCACUCCCUGUAGUUUUGAGGGCGCUCCACCCGGUCUGUCCCCUCACAGGCGAUGAUGUUCAUGGCACAUCGUGCGAUGAUGUCCCGCUCCACCAGCAGCCUCUCAUCAUUGUCUCGUGGCACCGUGGCUUCCAUCACAUCAAAGUGUGCUGCGAAGUUGUGGAGCACCUGGCGGAACCGUGUCACGAAAAAUGUCGUGUUGUAUGACGCGUUCACGAUGGCGUGGACGAACACGGCUGGCUUCAUCUUUCUGAUAGUGUUGAGCACAAUGUCCCUGGGGUUUAGCCUGUCGAUGACAACACUUUCGUCCAUCAGGGACCUAAAAUGGAUUAGGCUGUUCACGACAAGAACCUCAUCGGGAUUGAUGUUGAGAUCCUCUACCCGGACAUCCUCUGCCUUGACUUCGAUGACGCGGAACUCGAAUGGCACGCCAAACUGCUUUGCGCAGCGGCGGAGCCGUUGUCCUGUAUCGUGAGUUUGCUCGGCAGGACGGAAUCCUGGCCAGAGGCUGGUAAUGCUGGUGAUCCUCACCUUCGGAGGGCCGCCCUCCCUUUCUGCUAGGCACCGGAGCAAGUCUGGCCACUGGAACCCGUCAUUGACACCAUAGUGCACAAUGUGCAGCUUAUGUCUCCCCAUGACGGCAUUGUAGAUGGUCUUGUUGGAGAAGAGGAAACACACCUUCAUGAAGCAGCAGGCGGACAUGAAGAGCUUGUAGGCCUUGAGGACCUCGACGACGGGGGUGCGCUUCACCAUUAGCGAUCGGUAAAGCUGGCUCCCUCUGCCAGCCAGCCGUGCCUCUAGACCCUCAGCGAAGUAAUGCGCCAGUCGCUGUGUGGCGUCUCCUGUUGGGGAGGAGUGCCGCUUGACCCGCCACAGCAGCUCGCACGCGCUGCGCUGAUCGUUAGUGGCCACUGCCUCCGCGCAACGGAUCAGCAGUGUCUCCAGGUCGUCCACCACCACCAGCCUCGCGCCGCGCCUCCCACGCGGCGCCUUGGUGGAGAUGCACUGCUGCUCCGCCUCGUCACCUCGCUCACGUGCCUCAGUGGUGCACAUGUCGUAGCUGUUGAGCAUGAACUGGUCCAACAUGUCGCUCUCCUCCUUGGAUUCAGGCUGCACCUGCACAGCCAUUUGCUUGCUGCUCCUUCCAGCUUCUGCCCUGUUGCCACCGCCGCCGUGAGGCGUGUUUUUUUUUCGCGAAUACGCUAGAGUGCCGUGAGGCAUGUUACUACCCUCCACCGCCCCGCUGCAUCUGGGCAAGAAUCUGUUGGCUUCCUCCAUUCCUCUGAAGAAUGCCAUGCUCGAGAUCACAUCCAUGCUGUUGUUGGGCUCUGCCGUGCCCUUGCCAUUCAAAAAGAAGGCUGGGUUCUGGAUAUUUCUGCUUGACAAGGCUGAGUUGAGCAUGUCGGAUGAGGUGGUGGUGUCGGAGGUGGUGAGGAUCUGUGCGAAGGGAUGCUGGGCCUGCAGCAGCGCGGCGGGGUCAGGGUACUGGUAUAUGAACUUGUCAACAAUGUCCUCCUCCAUGAGCAUGCGCGAGAUGUAGUCGAGGGCCAGGUCAUCAUGCGGCUGUUGCAACGCCGGAGCAGGCUGCAGGUUGGGAAAGACAUAGGGCGUGGGUGCCAUGAAUGAUGGUGCUCCUAUGCUCUCAGUCUGUCCUAGUUGUAUGAGAUAACAUGGAGAUUUUGGCUGGGUGUUCGAUGAUUCCAACCAUCCAACGGAAGACCAGGCCACAUAACAAAACUGUACUAUGCGUACUACAUGUUUUGUGUACUAGGAUAAAUGGACUGUCUGCAGUUGACUAUGGUUUACCAGACAAAACCUUUGGAUUCUACAACAAUGAAGACAAGAUGACAAACUUGUGACCUUCGUUUCCGAUGCAGACGACUAAAAAACAAUAGUAGGAUGUACAUUCCAAUGCACAUUAAAGAAAAGAAAAAAGAAACGCAUGGAUACAAACAGCUAACAUGCAUCGACCCAACCUGUGCACCUUCAGUACUAGUUGAGCAAGCAUCCUCCAGUUUCUGCAAUACCAGGAACCUUGACAAGGCAUCACUGAAACUAAUCAGGACAUGGAAACUAGCUGCAAUUUCAAUACUUUCCUGACAUCUUAUUAGACAUUAGAGUGAUGACUGAUUGUAUGUAUCAUGUCAGAAUCAUCAUUGCUAACUUUUCUUUUCUUGAUGAAAUUGUAGCAGUGCUAUGCGAGUUUCAUUCAUUAAGAGAAGCUGGCAGAGCCAGGAAGAGUACAAUUAACCUAAGUAUGUUCAGCUGCUAUUACAGCACUAAACACUAGAACAGAUUAGGCAGAAGGGGUUCCGUCUGUGCGCUGAGUCCCUGCAUGGUUCUGGAGCUCUUCAAAGAUAUUUGAGAGACAACUGGUCAGCAUUGCAGGCAUUGUUGUCAAAGAUGCACAUAUCGCGCUCCUUCCAAAUUAUUCACCAGGUUAGCGUUACAACCUACAAGCGCACUGUUUCUCAUAUAUCAUGUCAUCUCUGCUUGAGAAAAUUGAAGAGAAAUAUCCAGUCCCCUUAUCAGACCAAGUUAUGUAAAGAUUCCACAUAAUCUCGUCUCUCACAAUGCAGAUUAAAAUGGAUAUAUGUGCACUCACUACAUCUCUGAAACCUUAUAAUAGUCUCUGUUACCAAGUUACACAUACAAAAAAGGAGCAAACACACAUCUGUUUUUUUUUUUUUGACACACAUCUGAUAGUGCAACAGGCAUAUCUAUAUCCAUUCGUACUUCAAUCCAUCCAUCUACUCCAGUUGAGAGCCACUAGCAUCAUCAGCUACCCAUGUCGAGAGGGCGUAGAGCACCCGGCCUUUCCAUCCCAGCAGAAGCCACCGUUGAUCCUCAUCAAUCAUGAAAUGCUUGUGGUACUGCUUCUUCACUUGGUCCUUGAGCAUCUUAACAAUGUCAGGGUCUAAUGACAGCUGCCUCAGUCCGGCUCGCUGGUUCCGCGCAUGCCACUCCUUGUAGUUUUGAGGGCGCUCCACCCGGUCAGGGCCCUCGCAGGCAAUGAUAUUCAUCACAGAGCGUGCAAAAAUGUGCCGCUCCACAAGUAACCUGUUGUCUUUGUUCUGCGUCAUGGUAGUCUCCAUCAUGUCAAACUGCGCUGUAAAGUUGUUGAGCGCUUGGCGGAAACGAGUCAUGAAGAACGCCGAGCUAUAUGCUCCAUUGACAGCAGCGUGGAUGAGCAUGGAUGGUUUCAUCUUCCUGAUAGUGUUGAGCACCAGGUCCCUUGGGUUUUCCAUGUCAAAGGUGAGGCUCUCAUCCAUCAAUGUCCUGAAAUGGAACAUAUUGUUCACGACGAGCACCUCGUCUGGAUCGAUGUCGAGGUCCUCAGCGUGGACAGCCUCUAACUUGGCUAUGAUAGCAUGGAACUUGAAUGGCACGCCAAACUGCCUUGCGCAGUAGCUGAGCCUGCGUUUUGUCUCCUUGGCUUGCUUAGCUGGACAGGGCCCAGGCUGCGGGCUAAUAAUGCCGGUGAUCCUCACCUCCGGUGGCCCACCUUCCCUGUCUGCUAGCCACCGGAGCAAAUCCGGCCACUGGAACCCAUCGUUGACACCGUAGUGCACAAUGUGCAGCUUCUUUCUCCCCGCCACGGCAUUGUAAAUGUUUUUGUUGGAGAAGUUUAGCGACACCUUCAGGAAGCAGCAGGCGGCUAUGCACAGGUGGUAGCUUUUGAAGAGCUCCACGGUGGAGGUGUGAUUUGCCAUGGUGAUCGAGUGGUACAUUUGCCUCCCUGUGCCCGCCAGUCGUGCCUCCAGCCCCUCGGCGAAGUAAUAUGCCAGUCGCUGCCUUGCGUCUCCUGUUGGUAGCGAGUGCUGCUUGAUCUUCUUCAGUAGAUCGCCGGCGUUGCUCCGGUCGUUGGUAGCCACCGCCUCCGCACAGCGGAUCAGCAGCGUUUCCAGAUCAGCCACCACCUUCUGCCUCGCGCUGUGCCUCACACACGGCGCCUUCAUGCGAAUGCUCUGAUGCGCCGCCUGGUCCCCCCUCUCCUUCAUCGUCUCAUUGGAGUGCAUGUUGUAGCCGUUGAGGAUGAGCAGGUCCAGCUCAAGUGCGGUGUCUUCCUCCGCCGAGUCAUUAUGCGCCAGCACCCGCACCGCUAUUUGCUUGCUGCUCCUGCCCAUGCACGCCUCCGUCUCGCCAUCCAUGCCAGACCUCUUCUUACGCCCCCUAGCAUCCACCAUCACAUUGACUGUGGGCAAGAAGCUGUUGGCCUCCUCCAUGCCUUUGAAGAAAGCCAUGCUCGACAGGUCACCCAUGGUGACGCCGCUGCUGGGCUCCUCCGCUGUGACUCUGCCAUUCAAGAUCAAGGGUGGGCUAUGUACCUCGCUGGACAAGAACCCAGAAGCCAUGAUGCCCGUGUUGUUGCCUUGACUUGGAAUUAAAGCGGAGGACCCAUGGGCACCAGCUGUGGUGAUGACGGAGGCUGAGAGGAUCUCAGCGAAGGGCUGCUCGGCCUGCAGGAGUGUCGGAUGCUCAGGGUGUUGGUAGAAGAACUUGUCGAUGAUGUCCUCUUCCAUGAGCAUGCGCGAGAUGUAUGCCAAGGCCAGGUCAUCCUGCGGCUGCUGUGGCUGUGAGUCACCGUUGGUCAUCGAGGGUUGGUCGAGGAAGAUGGAAGGGGGCGGUGGCGCAGGCUUGACGAGCCCCAACAGCUCUUCCUGGGCGGCAGCCAUUGCAGGCAUGGUUGCUUGUUGAUGGUGGUGCAGUGCAGUGGAAAUGUCGUCCUGCCUCUAUCCAUUAUACUCCAUGUGAAGCCAACAAGCUCACUGCUCAGUUGGAACCAUCGAAUCUUUCCGUUGCAUAGAAUCGGUCACCAUCGAGCACCGCCUGCACAUAUGGACAAACAAACAAUGGUCCGUUUGAGAGAGAUUGUAUUAUUCAUCUUGGUGUCUCAGCCAUUCUUCUGCCCAUGUCUAAUAAAAAUAAGCAGCAGUUGUCUUGUAGUACGAAUCAAUUUAUGUGUCAAAAUGUGUGCUGUUUUGAGUUCAUAUGAGACUUUUCAAAACAUGGACACGAGAUCCUCAAACAAUGGAUAUUCUGGAGUUAAAUUCGUAUUUGCAGAGAAUGGGUUUCUACGGGCACCGGCCUUAAAUUUACGUGGAUGUGUAACAGGUCUUGUUUGGAGCCAGGUGUGGAAAUGUGGAUUUAUGUAUCUUAUACCUAAAUAAAGCCAUGAGUUGAAAUAUCGCUUUUCCUUUUUCCUUUUGGGUAUGUCUUGUGUUGUUGCCCCCAACAGACCUCUUGAUUUUCCUUGCACUUGGAUAACUUGUUGUAUGAGCAUGUUUUAAGCCCUGACCAUAGAACGAUUGUUCUACGGUGUUUUAUUAAUAAAACUAACAAACUUAUAUACAAAACAAAGUAAAAAAUAAAUAAAUAUGCAUUUGGUUUAGCCAAUUCCUAGCUUUGGAAACAUCAAAUAUCAAGUGGGCUCAAAGGGAACUAUCAAUCCAGUCCUGGAAUGUUUGAAGUUUUCUGUCCUUGAUUCUAUAAAAAAUAAUCUUGAGAUCUUGCUUGAGGAGGACUUUCCAUGAGGCAGAGCUUGGGAGUGAUGUUAUCAAAAAUCUUGUUAUUUCUAUGAAUCCAAAUGUUCCAGCAUCCCAUAACUAUGAUUUCAAGAGCAAUUUCAGAUGGCAAGUGGGUAGCAGCAAGUUGAAUGUCAUGGUUACCAUGUAGUUACCAACUCCCUCCAUCUCAAAAUAAGUGCCAUUGAUUUAGUACACGUUACCAAAUUGCACACGGUAUAUUUAUCAUGUUACUCAUGUUAUAGGUACCAACAUGGUUAUGAUAUUCUUACAGGCUGCAUUUUUUAUAGUUAAAAUAUUGUCAAUGCUAAAGUUACCAGAGUUACCAAUGCCUAGGAGUUCUUCCGAACAGAGACAUGAUAACAAGCUCACAAUGCCCUCUUUGUAUUUCUGAUUGCGAGAGUGUUCGGCAUGCUCUAUUCCUAUGUCCUCGUGCGGAUGAAAUCUGGAGAAUUUGGGUCUACAACAGAUGGCCAAUGAUAUGUGCCAAACUGAUCGCGAUUGUGUACAUCUAAUGGCCUGGCGCCCCUAUCUCCCGGUAUUGAUUGUGAUAUACUUCCUUCGUCCGAAAAUACUUGUCAUCAAAAUGAAUAAAAAGGGAUGUAUCUAGACGUAUUUUAGUUCUAAAUACAUCUCUUUUCUUCCAUUUUGAUGACAAGUAUUUUUGAACGAAGGGAGUAUUGAUUAUCACAACCAUUUGGUAUAUCUGGUGGGAGAGAAGAAAAUUCACGCACGGCGAGAAGUUGCUCGAACCGGCAAGAUCGGGACUCAGGGACUGCUUGCUUUUCGCGAUCAACGUCGGUUGCAACAGAAGCAGACUGCAUGGAGGUAAUCGAAGUGAUGCAAAACGGACAUGUGGACCCUGGGCAAUGUGAAUGACAGUGGGCCUAGCAUGUGUUGUAUGGUGAGCCAUGGCGUGUGUGGGGUUAUGUACCACUCCUGUAUACCGAGCAAGGAAGCUAAACUCUGACAAGAAGUGCAUGGGUGAACCCGAGUACAUAUGAGAAACACAUUUCUAAAUGCUAAAUAAUAUCUGAAAAAAAUUGCACGGGGUAUGUCUUCAUGAAGUUCUAUGUGCGUGCAUAAAAUUCAAGGAAAAAUAAUCCUUUUUAUGGCCUGUGAAAAAGACAAAAAAAAUUAUGUCCUAGAACCCUAUUUAGAAGCGAGACAAAACAACAGGACAUUUUUCACAAAACUUUGUGCCGUAUACACACAUUUGUGAGCAUGUAUGUGUAAUAUUUUCUUUUGAAUCUUUUGACAUUUUAAAGCGUGCUUAAAAUGCAUUUUUGGAAAAGUGGGUGCAUAUACCCAUGGGUGCCCUCUCAAACUCUAACCUGCUUCUCUGUUUUCCCAUCCCUCUCUUUGUCUCUCCCAACUACCCCAAUUUUCCCAUCUGCUGGACUUGGUGUGAGAUCCUCCCAGGGUCCUGAGACAUAGCAGUGAUGUACAAGACGCUAUUAUACUAUGGGACGGAAGGAGCAGUUAUGAGGCGAGGACUAGUCUUUUAAAUCAAUAAUUAUCUAUAAGUAGUCUGACACCGUAUGUAUUUUUUGCCAAUUAAUAUGGACUGUAUCUGUAUCUCUUAUAGUACCAGGUGAUAACUUUUGAACAAAUAAUACAUAUUAAAACGUUGAGAAGUACCGAUGAAUUAACAGUUUGAUAACUUACAUAUGGCAAACAGGAAAAAAUCAUCAAAACAUACCAACAUAAGAUCUAAUCUCGAAAAUCUCAUUGCAACAGAUUUAAUAGUAAAAACAAAUUCUUAAUCCUUUUAAAUCUUUUCUGGUUUAUCUGUAUGCAUGCAUCUGUAUCUAUACCAAUAUAAAAAAAACCAAAAGGACAGAUCCAAUUAAUCUCGACCAUCAAAUCAUGUCAAUCCAACGACCUAGACUGUUUCAAUGUCGAGCGCUCAACAUGUUUAGCGUGCAGUUAAUUUCAUGCCAAAAAUAAUGCUAAUCACAUAAUAACACAAAUAAUAUCCUACUUAAUAUCCGCAUGCACUUAAUAUACACGUAAACAUUGACUAGUUGAUGCAAAGGAAUGAGAUGGCAAGAACCACGGGUGAUGAACCAUUAUUAGGACAAAGUGUUCGGAACAAUUAUUAGAUUCGUAACGUUCGUCAAAUAUAACACUCCAUUUGAUAAACCAAACUGUAAUUACACGACAACUGUGAACCUUAAACACCAUCUUGCAAUGUGGAAACGGACACUGCUUCUAGUCGAUUUUCGUGAAUAAUUUUAUGUUCACGUAUCACAAUUUGUGAAAGUAGGGUGACAACGACCAAUCAAGCAGCCACUUGACAUGUAUGAAGACCAGUCUCAACAAAUCAG
rnacentral:lncRNA from 1 species